rnacentral:lncRNA from 1 species
UGAAAGUGUAAUUUUUGCAAUUUUCAAUUGAAUGGUAAAAAUAAAAGGGUAAAUUGGUUAAAACCAAUUAAGGGUAAAAUGAGAAUUUUUAAAUUUUUGUAGGGGUAUAGGGUUAAUUGUAGGGGUACAAGGUAAAAUUUUCUAACUGGAUAUUUCAUCCAAAUUUAAUUUCUAUAACUUUUCUAUAACAAAAAUCAAUAAAAAUAUAAUUGAAUUAAUAGUAAUGCAUGAUUUUUCUUUCCAAAGAAUAUCAGAUUGUCCAUUUAAAUCGUAAGAAGUUAGAAACAAAGACAUUACUUUUCUCCCUCUCGAAGAAAACGCUUCCCUAUGUAUUCUUCAAAUACAAACUUCUUUAACCAUAAUAACUCAUUCAUUCUAAAGGAGUAUUAUAUGCCUCUAAAUUUCCUAUUCCACCAAAAUGCUUAACUUCAUACAGGAACAAAAAUUAUUAAUUAAAUAACAAUUAAACUCUUCAAGGCACUGUGAACGAAAUGCUUAUCUCCACUAUAAUCAUCUGGUUAAUAACAGUAAUACCAUUUAACAAGGAAUAAAAAAAAUGAACUAAACAAUGGCAACCAAAGAAAACGUUUACAGUAAGGUUUUUUUUUUUAAAACAUUUGAAAUAAAUCACAAUCUCAUAAUCCAGCUUUGGCACCAAAAAAAAGAACAAAUGACGGUAGCCGCAACACCGUGUAAAAAUUCCUGGAGUUAUUUAUGAUACAUGAGCCCGUUGAAACCAAAAUGAAACCAAUCAAACAACAAAUACAAUAAAUCUAAAACGUUACCAUAUUUACAAUGCUCUUGCUGGUAGAUUUUUGGGUUCCGAAACCGUAUCAACCGUCUUCUCAAUACCCAAUAACGACCAUGACAGUUCUCGUGGCGUAGUCGUAAUGGUUCAGUCGGAAGAUCCGUGACAGGUUGAAGCGAUAUGAAGAUGAAAAGGGUUUAGUUGUGCGGUGGUCGACGGCGUGGGUUACUUCGGUGGCGGAGUUCGAUCCACGGUGGAAGGAAAAAGAAGAGUGAGGUUGUUUAGAUCGCAGUCAGCUUGGUAGAUGGCGUUGAAGGGAAUUCGCGGCGGCCAUGGCGGUUAGCCGGAAGUUGUUGAAGGAUGUUAAGGGCGGAGAAUUCGAGACGUACGGUGGAGUGUGUAUGUUAUGGUGGUGUUUGUUGGAAGGUUUGAGUUUAUGAAGAAGAAGAGGAUUUGAAGGAAUUGAGUGGGUAAGGGUGUGACGGCAGUGCGUUUUUUCAAGGGGAAGAAGAAGGUGGAUUUCAGUGUUUUGUGUGUGUGACGUUUGGGAGCAGAAGAAGUAUUCCUCCCUUUUUGUUUUUUUCUGUCCCAUGAGUCCCCUUUUUCUUGAGACAGAGUGGUGAUCCCCACGUGAAGAAGAAAUCUCUUUGUUUCCCCUUUUUCCCCGUUAGCCAGCUGUUCCUCCAUUAAUAAAAUCCCAUUUUUGUUCUUAUCCCAUCUCUCCCAAUAACAUGAUGCCACGUUUCAUGUUGAGAGUAUGGAUAAAAAAUCUUCUCAAAUGCAAGCUGUCAAACGUGUAUCUUUCACAAGUAUACAACUUUAUUUUUAAUUUUUAAUUUUUAAUGUUAAUAUUAAUAUUAUUUGAUUUUUCAUGAUUAAUAUUAUUAUUAAUUGAUUUUUGAUUGGAUAAUGGAAUAUGAUAACGAUUGCAAAUGAGAUCCGUGGAUUAAUUUGUAUCAACGAUCCUGAUUAAUCCAAAGAAGCACAAGCAAUUUUAAAAUGUCCGAUAUGUCCCUUUUAUAUGAUUUUAAUUGAUUUAAAAUAAUUUAAAUCAUCAAAUCAAAUUAAAUUCGCAUCUUUCUAAAUACAUACGAUAAAAAUAAAAUGAGAAUACGAAAAAUUCUAUUUAUUUCUUUUGAACAUUUUGGCGAAAGAAUAAAAAUAAAAUGACUAAAAAUUAAUAAAAGUCGGACGAAAAUUUGUUUAAAAAAUUAAAUCGGACGCACUAAAAUGAUCAGCGCGAAAUAUACUUAUUGAAAAAAUACAUCAUUUCUUUUAAUUUUGAAAUAAAUUUUGACCGAUUGAAAGGCUUAGACGGAUCAAAAUGCGAUUGAAAAAGUCGUCGAAAAAUAUAACGAGCACACCAUGUUAAACUACGCAGACCAUAGAUUAAUAAUACUGGCGUAUGCAAGUUUAAUUUUGAAACUUUUUACACGCUGAUUUUGCACGUACUUGAGAAAUGAUUUAACCAAUUUGUCUAUAUUUUCAAUAAUUUAUUUCGACCGAUAUUUUAAGUAUUAUUCAUGAUGAAAUGCAUGUUAUGCUGUACAACUGAUGCAAAUUAAAAAUGAAAUCAAGUUUAUGAAAAAUUUAAAAUGUCUGGACAAAAUUGGGGUAUGACAGCUGCCCCUAUUUAGUUACCUUGAUCCGGAAAGUAAGAAUUACAGCAGUGUCCGUAAAUUCGUGGUGGAAGGUAAUUAAAUACGAAAAGACCCAAAUUUUGUCCUUUGAAAUGUGAUGGAGAAAUGUAGAAAGAAAAUGUAACGAAUCCUAACGACAUCCAGGGUAUUAGGGGUAGAAUAUCCGAUCAAUGCCAACCCUCGAGUCGACAUUUAAAUCUUGCAAAGGUCGUUAUUGAUAUGAGGACAAACCUGAGCAGGUUUUCUGGCACCAAAAGGAUGACAAUAGAAUUAAUUGCCAUCACCAAAAGGGUGAUAGUAAUUCACCAUGAUUUCCGGGAUCGUCAUCACCAAAAGGAUGAUGGAAUACCAAGCUUCAAAGGUAGUCAUCACCAAAAGGAUGAUGGUUAUCCUGAUAAAGCUUUCCAUUACCGAGGGGGUAAUAUUAAGACUAUCAUCAAAAGGACGAUAGUUAACUCAUCAACUUCAAAGAUCACCGUCACCAAAAGGAUGAAAGUAAGUUCAACGACAAAACUUAUUAUCACCAAAAGGAUGAUGCUAAGUCACGGCAACUUCAUUGGAUCACCAUCACCAAAAGGAUGAAGGUAACAUUAACAACAAAACUUGUUAUCACCAAAAGGAUGAUAAAAAGUCAACAAUCACCAUCACCAAAAGGAUGAAGGUACUACCAAACAACAGAACUUGUUACCACCAAAAGGAUGAUAAUAAGUCAACAAUAUUAAUGAUCACCAGUAUCCAAAGGAUGAAGGUAAGAUCAACAACGAAACUUGUUAUCACCAAAAGGAUGAUAAUAAGUCACAAACUUCAAAUGAUCACCAUCACCAAAAGGGUGAAGGUAAGAUCAAAUAACAGAACUUGUUACCACCAAAAGGAUGAUAACAAGUCAUCAACCACCAUCACCAAAAGGAUGAAGGUAAAAACAAACAACAAAGCUUGUUACCCUCAAAAGGAUGAUAAUAAGUCAACAACUCAAAUAAUCACCAUCACCAAAAGGAUGAAGGUAAGAUUAAUAACAAGACUUGUUACCACCAAAAGGAUGAUAAUGAGUCACAAUCACCAUCACCAAAAGGAUGAAGGUAUUAUUGAACAACAAAACUCGUUAUCACCAAAAUGAUGAUAAUAAGUUACAACAACUUAAAUGAUCACCAUCACCGAAAGGAUGAAGGUAAGAUCAGAACAAAACUUGUUACCACCAAAAGGAUGAUAGUAAGUCGAGACAAACUUUAAUGAUCGCCAUCACCAAAAGGAUGAAGGUAAGAUCAAAUGACAAAACUUAUUACCACCAAAAGGAUGAUAAUAAGUCAAAAACUUCACAUGAUCACCAUCACCAAAAGGAUGAAGGUAUGAUCAACAACAAAACUUGUUACCUCCAAAAGGAUGAUAAUAAGUCACAAACUUCAAAUGAUCACCAUCACCAAAAGGAUGAAGGUAUGAUCAACAACAAAACUUAUUACCACCAAAAGGAUGACAAUAAUCUUUAAUAAUGAGAGGUCUCCAUUCACCAAAAGGAUGAAGGUUGGACCCAAAACUUCAAGGAUCUUCGACACCAAAAGGAUGACGGUAAGAUCACAAAUGUCAAGGGUUUACCAUUACCAAAAGGAUAACGGUUAUCAUAAACAAGGAGAUGAUUAAUAUUAUUCCUCAAUGAACUUUCACCAAAAGAAUGAUAGUGAGAAAAAUAUUUGGAAUAAUAAAGCUACUGACAAAGUUCAAUAAACCCGACUUGUUGGGUAGUAUUAGAACGUUACUGGGUAAGACUUGCUUGGGGUAUCGACAAUAAAAGGUUGCAGAAAAAUAUUCUCUGGAAAACAUAAUUUCCAUCAACAAAAGGUUAAAAGAAACAUCUCAUCGAGGAACGCUCAAUGAGAAACAAGGUAGGGGUUUGAAGAAAAAUUGUUCGACUUAGAUGAGGGUAACACCUUAUUAACAAAAGGUUAGAGGAUGUAAAUCAACGGGGAACACCCAACAAUACAAGGUAAGAACUCACUCAGAGAAAAUAAUAAAUGACUCAACUGAGGGUUGGCCUGGACACCUACGACUAAACCUUGGAUCUUGAUUCGUGCUAUAUGCAUGAAUGUUAUGUAUGCGUUAUGUAUGAGAUGAUGUAUGCAGUGCAUGUUUGAAUGUAAAGGAUGAUUGGUUUGUUUAGAAUUGGUCCCCCCUUUUCAAAGGAGAUGUAUUUUCUGGAAACAAAUACUGGUUGUAUUUGUUUUUGUGUGGGUUCCAACAAGGUGGACUUUGGGUUUUUUGGUAAUUGCCAAUAUGAGUUUGAUUGUUGGUGGGUGAAAGGAUCUGACUUCCCGACACUUGGUAGUUUAUGAUCUGAUGAACACGCAAUGGAUGUGGAUACGCUCGAUGCCCUAAGUUUGAUUUCUUGCUGUUAUGUUGUGUCUUUGCCCCUGAGGGGAACUCGACUUCUUCUUCUGAGAUGUUGGGUCAGCUUGUAACCGAGCAUAGUGACAUGAUCAACGCAUGAUGAUUAUGCUUUUGACGUGCCGCAAGGUUUCUUGUCAAGAUGUGAUAUUGUACCGGUAUGAAGUUUUGACAUUUUGGUUGUGAUCUUAGACAGUUUCUAGUGUCUGACACAAUCUGCCUGACCGACUUGAAGAUAUGAAGUGAAUUUUCCCCUUGCAACUUGUCUUGCCCAGUCUGUAGGGUGUUCAAAGGAAUUAUCCUUGAAAGGAAACCCUUAGGAGUGAUUAUCCCAUGACAUGGUCUGAGUCUGUUUCCUCCAACGUUUGUCUCUUGUGGUGGGAUAAACACAGAAAUGGAUAACAAAUGGUUUUGAACUCGGCAUUCAUGUCGUGUGAUUUUCUCUCUUCUUCUUUUUUUCUCGUGCAUAACUCAUAGCUUUGGGGGUUUAUCCACUUUUGGCUCUUUUCAACUCAAUUCUUUGUGAGCAUUUUAAAGGUGUUAGAGUCUUAAGUCUCGGCAAGUGCAUUUUCUUUUUUUUUUUUUCUUUUUGGACAUACACAUGUCUCUACUUUUUGUAUUGCUUUUAGAUCUCUUAUUAUGCACUUGCCCUUUCUUUCAAGAUUACCACCCCAAACUUAGCUUUUUGCACAUCUUGUAACUCACAACAAUCAUGCCGAGUGAUGGGAUGAAAUGAACGAUUAAUGGUCAACAUGGGGUUUAUUACGAACAAAAUGGCUAAGGCUCAACGGGGUUCACGAAGGGUAAACAUAUAAACAUGGAUGGCUAGAAAGGCUCUGGAUUAAACAAACAACUUGCCUCAGUGCGUGUUGUCAUGCUGUGAAGUGUCAAAAGAACAUACGCAAAAUCAGAGUGAUAGAGUCAUACCUGGCUGAACUCUCAUGAUAUUUAGUGUUUGGCCUUUUUAUUCUCACCAUGUUGGUUAAACUUACAAGCUCUGAAGCCUCCUAGUGUCAUGUGGUUUCUUUUCUGAUUCGGUUCUACCAUACCGCUCUCUUGGUCCAGUGUCACCAAAUUGUGUCCGACUUUUACUUUCUCAUGGUUGCAUCAACUUCCGGGGUACCUUAAUAGAACAAGUAUGAGGGGUGUCUUUCAUCCACUACAACCGAUCCCGGAUUCGUCCACAAUUUCUCAUCACUCUGUACACACCGAUAAACAAUAAAAACAAACGUUGAAGGAAAACAUGAACAAAAUGAAAACGAAAUAAAACAUGAAAGGAAAACCCCUCCCCCCCCCCACACCUGAACUAAACAUUGACCUCAAUGUUUAAAUCCAGAUACAAAGGGGACUCACAGCGACUACUGUUGUUUUACUGCACUUGUGUGGUUUCCUUCCAUUUUGAGGUGUUUGUGACUUUAUUAAAUCCAGAUACAAAGGGGACUCACAGCGACUACUGUUGUUUUACUGCACUUGUGUGGUUUCCUUCCAUUUUGAGGUGUUUGUGACUUUGCCCUUCUAAUUCUCCUCCUCCCCUACAACAAAAUUCUAGCACACAAAAAGAAAAAGAAAAACGAAAUAAAUUAGAAAUCAAACGCGUGGGUUGCCUCCCACGAAGCGCUUCCUUUAACGUCGCAUGGCUCGACGGUUCAUUUCCCUUAUCAUGGGGGGUAUUUCAGGUUCAAAACCUUGUUGCACCUCUUGUCUCUAACUCGGACGUUGUCUCUUUUAUCAGUGUUGACUCCUUUGCACCACGUUCCUUUUUAACCUUCCUUUCGAUGUUAGGAAUCUUCCCGUUUAGGGUGGCUACUGGCAGUGGUGAGACUUUGAUAGUAUUCAAUGUCCUGAUUAAGCCUACUUGAUACUGAGAUUUUGUAUCUUCCUCCAUAUCCUGGUCUUCAAUAGCUUUCAAUGUUAUUUCCUUGUUGUGAACUUUCAAGGUUAACGUGCACUCAUCCAUGUCGAGCUCGCAUCGACUCGUCUUCAUGAAAGGUCUACCCAGAAUGAUGGGUGCCUCAUUGUCUUCAGGUAUGUCUAGGAUUACAAAAUCGACUGGGAAAGUCAAGUCCGCUAUUGUUACCAACACAUCUUCAACCAUACCAUACGCAUCUUUUCUUGAGUGAUCCGCAAACUUCAGAUUGGUCUUUAUAUCACUGAUAUUUCUAAUACCCAGCCUGUGAUAGAUCGAUAAUGGCAUCAGAUUCAUACUAGCUCCAUAACCUAUUAGUACCUUUUUGAAGGUUCUUUCUUUGAUUGUGCAUGGUACUGUGACGGUUCCUGGAUCCUUUUAUUUGUUAGGAAUGUUCUGCUCCAGGGAGUUUGCAUUAUAUUGUUCCUUACCGGAUACCUGUUCUUCAGUGGUUGGUUUCUUUUCAGCCAUUACCUCUUCCACGAAUUUCUUGUACAUGGGCAUCCUUUCAAGUGGUUCAAACAAAGCCAUAUGACCCUCAAUCCUUUUAAACAUUGUCAUGAAUUUCUCCAAGUCUGACUCACUAGGUUCCUUCUUUGUCAUUCUCUGAGGGUAGGCAACUUAAUCACCGGUUUAGUUCCUUUUGUAGUUUCUUCUUGAGUCGGCUCUCUCGGUGAUGUAAUUUUUUCUUUUUAGCAGCCUUUUUCUCUGUCGUCGUGACAGUAUUAAACAUCUCUGACCUCUCGGAUUUUGAACUGUUUCACUUGGUAGGGAACCUGGUGUUCGAGAACUUGCCAGUUGCUGGGCUAUCUGCCCCAGCUGAACUUCGAGAUUCUUUAGGGAUGCGGCGAUGUUUUUCUGAUUGUUUCUAGUCUCUUCUUCAAAUUGCCCAUUUUGAGCUGCCGUCUUUUCAAUUGCAAUCUCCCAAUCUGCCUUCUUUGGGACUUGAUUUUGCUGUUGCUGAUAUUGGUUUUGAUAUUGGCCUUGUACUUGCUGUUGCACAUUCCCUUUCUGAUCCCUCCAUGCAAAGUUUGGAUGAUUCUUCCACCCCGGGUUGUAUGUGUUGGAGUAGGGAUUGUUUUGCUUUAAAAACUUGAUAUCUUCUAUCUGUUGCGGUGUUGCAAAGCAAUGAACAGUAUUGUGUGGUCCAUUACAAAUGCCACACACAUCGUUAGGUGCCUGUUGUACUUGAGCCACUUUCUGCGCACCUAUGUUUAGUGCCUUCAACCUUUUCUCCACCUCUGCAACAACUGCUUCUUCAAUUUUUACCUGUUUGUUUAUUUUAAGCUUCAAAUCAAUUACUGCAGAUUUGCUUGACACCCUAUCAUACAACUCCAGAUGCUCAUUUGAGGAAAUUGCUUCAAUUAUCUUCUUCAUACCGGUGGCUGUUGCAAAGUUAGCUGAGCCACCAGCUGUUGAGUCAAGGAUUUGUCUCGUUUGAAUUCGAAGACCAUUAACAAACAUUUGCAUCUGCUCAGUUUCAUCCAUGUUGUGAGUAGGACAAGCCACUAGGAUUCUCUUGAAUCUUUUAUAGGCAUCUCCUAUCGUUUGAAUUCGAAGACCAUUAACAAACAUUUGCAUCUGCUCAGUUUCAUCCAUGUUGUGAGUAGGACAAGCCACUAGGAUUCUCUUGAAUCUUUUAUAGGCAUCUCCUAGUGACUCACCCUCCUUUUGCUUGAAGUUUAGGAUCUCCUAUCUUUUUCUCAGUGACAUAGAUGCGGGAAAAUAUUCCUGCAAGAAUGUUGUUUCCAUCUGCUCCCAUGUAGUGAUACUGCCAGCCGGUAAGGAAUAGAAUCACUCUUCGGCUUCAUCUGCUAAAGUGAAUGGGAACAUACGAAGCCUUAUUGCUUCUUCGUUAUGUCCAGGCAUUUUCAGCGUUGUGCUCAUAGUUAAAAAUCUUUGCGGAUGCUUGUUGGCAUCUUCAUUCACUCUUCCAGAAAAGGACCGCCUUUCGAGUUGAUUAAUUAUGCUGGGAUGCAAUUGAAAUUGUUUUACAUUAACCGGGUGGUUUACAAUUGUCAUCCGACCACCCGGAGUGUUGGUUCCACCAUUGUCACCGAGAAGUCUCUCGGGUGGUGGUGGUGGUGGUGGGUUUGCAGCCAUGAUUUCAGGAACUAUUUCCGCGUCUGAAUCUGAAUUCUCUGAGUGCACUGAAACAACUUCCUCCUCUGCUUUCUUUGCUAAUUCCAGUUUUUCUCUCUUAGCUUGUCUUAGUCUAGCACGAAGAGUUCUUUCUGGAUCUGCGUCAAAAGAAAAAUCCGCUGAGGCCUUACCUCGCAUAAACAAGUUAGACAAAUAUUAGAAUUGAAUAACAAGAUUGUCACAGAUAAAAUUUUGGUUGACGAGCAGAUAUAAAUUCACAAAACCAACCAAACCCUUGUCUUUUUGUUCAAAUAGAAUCAGAAGUAAAAUAAGUAUUUCCCCCGCAAUCCCUGAGAUCGAUACUUGGAAAUAAAAUCCUAUUACAUCAAUCGCGUAAAAAAGUACACUUGCUAAUUCCGAUCAAGUUUUUGGCGCCGUGUCGGGUAAUGCCAAAUAAAACCUAUUUUAAUUUUUAAUUCUUAUUAUGAAAUUUUACAAAAAAAGUUGCUCAGCAAACCAAAAAAUAUUUAUAUGCCUGUAGUGACACACAUCUUAUCAAUCUAAUAUUGAUACGCCAAAAUUAAACAAUUGUUUAUGCGAGACAGUAAGCCUCAAGCGGAUUUUCUUUUAUGACGACAAUCCACGAAAGAACUACUUCGUGCUAGCACUAGAGACAAGCAAACGGAGAAGAAAAACAAUGGAAUAGCAAAGAAAGGCAGAGGAGGAGGAAAGAUUGUUUCAGUGCAACUCAGGAGAAUUCCGAUUCAGACGCGGAAAAUAAAUACAAAAAUCGUUCCUCGACAAUAUCAAAUGGCAAUGCAAAACACCCACACCACACAACAACAACACUCCAAACCACACCACACACCUGAGAAAAAAACUUAUCGAACCAAGAUAACAAGAUUGAGUGGAAAACCAAACCACUCCGGGUAGUGGACGAUGACAAAAUGUGAAACACCCAGGUAUGAUUAAAAACACAUUAAAUUACAAUUGUACCCAGCAAUAAUUAAAAUGCAAACUCGAAAAGAACGACACGUUCAUUUAUAUAAAUCUGGAAAGAUAAAAAAAGAUACAGCGAGUAAACAACAAAACAUUGUUGAAUGAAAAAAUGGUAGGAACCACAAACAAAAGAAAAAAGCAAACAAAAAAUACAAACCAACGAGGACAAAAAAACAAAAAAAGAAGAAAAGAGAAUAAAGAGAAAUAAUUACUUAACUCAUGAGCCAACAACGGCUUGAGAAAAUGCCCUGAACCAUAACGAAGAAGCAAUUAAGGAGUUCGCUAGUCCAUUACUCUUAGCAGAUGAAAGUCACGAAGGAGGUGAUAUACAUCAUCAAACUUAAAGCCGAAAAAAAGUGCUCGGCCAAAGAAUCAACCACAUCGGAGCAAGAGUGGAACUAUAAAACACAACAUUCUUGCAGGAAUAAUUAGUCGACAUAUAUAGAGUCCACUAGGAGAAAAAAAAAGAAAUAAAAAAAAAAAGAACCAAAGCAAUUAAAAUAGCAAAAACAGCAGCCUGGGCAUUGUUACAGGAAGCAUCAAUCAAAUAAACCAACACAAAACACGAAAUUCAAAUUUCUGGAAAAAUUAAAAACAUGUAAGCUACAUUGAACAAGCCAGGGUUCUAUGGUUUUUUUAGAAAACAACAGCCAUAACAACCACAUCAUCAUUCAAAACAGCAACCAAAAACAACAGCAUUACAAAAUAUGCUAUUUCGACAGUGGAAUUCUCUUUCUGAAAGACAUGACUGAUUUGGCAACUAACAUAACCAGCUGCAUUCAUCAUCCUUCUACUAAUGUUAACCUACAUCAAUCAUAUAACAAGAUUUCAGAAUAGAGAAAGGCCCUAGUUCACAGAGGUGAACAUUCCCUCCCUCUCUUGGCAACCUAAGACAAGAGUCCUCUCCGUUUCACUACCUCCUGCCGAUUCCCCGGUUGUUCCCCCCCCCCCCCUCCCCCCGUUGUUGAGAGCAGAUUACCUCCUUGUGAAGUUUUAGCACUCUCCGCACAUUCUUCCUUUUUUCUCCAUGACCCCAUAGAGCGGGGACCAUCUCCUCCGCAAGCGGCACCCCCCCAUAAGCCAAAACCAAACACAAACAACCAAAUUCGGAGCCCAAGUAUGCUGGGCUAUUGUUAUUUGUUCAAACAACAGCAAAGCAAUCAUGUUCAUCAUGCAAUCAAACAGUCGAUCACAAUUGAAACUCAAACUAGCAGUGGGCGUAGCAAACAUGGGCAUUUGGUACAAGUUUGUUCAUGCCAACAUCACUUCACUCACACAAUCUGUCCCAAAAGUCUAAUUAAUUGUUUAACAACAGACAAGCAUAAGGCAAAGGAAAUUCCUGAUGAUGGCGCAGAGCUAAUAUUAUGAACCACAACCCAAACAGGUUAAUUAGCGAAUAUCAGAGAAUUCCUACAUCUCGCAUGGCUUCUCUCAAUUAUACAUCAUAACAAGUGUCGUGGAGCAAUAGGAAACCACAAUCAACCCAAAAUGGCCGUUAGCAUUGUGGCUUCGUCGCUAUUAAUGGAACAUCACAGGCCUUAGCAACAUCAACAACAACCAAAUUCUACAAACAUAUAGACACGUGUGGUGCAUCAUANUGGUUGGUUUUGUGAAUUUAUAAUAAUAAACACAAAAAGAUAGUAGAAAUAAUUGAUUAAGAUAAAAUAUGCUAGGGUGAGUGGUUGAUUUAACCAGUUAUGAAUUCAGUCAAGAUUUCCUUAAUACACAUGAAACAUUCAAUUACCUAACCGCAUAAUGUUCUUCCUUAAGUCCUUAAGGAAGAAACUAUUAAACUACCAAUUCUUACUCAAAUGUCCAUUCAAUUAAUCAUUGGUUUUAAUCAUAAACAAUAUCAAGGUUUAUGGUGAUUCACAAAUGUUCCUAGUCCUAGGUGAUGCAAUUAUAAACCCAAUUGUGUGAAAACACUAACAAUCACAAUCCUGUUAUUGAUAGUCAUAGAUCUAUUUGUAUUUGUCUGAUACAAAAGCAUAAGCACAUCAGACAAUUGAAUUGAAAUUCGUAACAUAGUAAUAAGGAAAUCCAUAGAUAGAAUUCAUAACAUCAGACCAAAUCAGGACCACCCCCCUAGCAUUGGGGGUUUAGCCUCUCAUAGUAUUCAAAGAAAUCAUAGUAUAGAAAUUAAACAUUACAAAGAAUGAGGAGAUUUUGAUCUUCAAUGGGUGAUGCCCUUGAAUCUCGCCGUCUUUGAAUCCUCCGUAGUAGCUAUCUUCUCCGGUGCAAUGUUUCUUUUCGUACGUCAAAAAGUGUCUUCUCUAUCUCUCCAAAGUCUUUUAAUAGCCUCAGAUGGUUUUUCCCCAGUAAGAAGUCCAAAAUACCCUUAAUGAACAGGGCAGAUCCACACAACAAAAAGUAAAAUUUCUCAGCCGCGCCCAUCAACACUGGCAGUGUGGAUACACAUGGGUGCCCGUGUUGAUUCACACGGGCCGUGUGAAUUUACAUGGGUACCCGUGUUGUUUUCAAGAGUUAUGUUUUUUAAAGCAAGCUACAGAGGCAUCAACACGGGCCGUGUUGAUGCACACGGGUGCCCGUGUUAACCCUCUAUUUUACCUCCUGGAGUGCUUGUUUCCGGACAAACAACACGGGCCGUGUUGAUGUACACGAGGGCUCGUGUUGACCUACUGUAUCUUCAUAUUUUGGCCUUCCGGAGCAUCCAAUACUCGGCUAUUAGUCCUUUGGAACCUAUGCACAACCUGCAACAUUAACACUACCAAAUCGAAGCAUAAAAAGAGACUUUUUGACAUAAACAAGUAACAAAAUGCAAUGCACUAAUAAACUAACAAAACUUGUUAAAUGACUUUAAAAUAACUAAAAACAACCACAAGUCUGACCAAACUGAUGAAAAUAUGUCGGAUAAAAGGUGGGAAUUCAAUGGAAAUGGUGACCGAUCAUCGGUUAUUCUUCUGUGCUUCAGCCAAGCUGACUCACCGAUACAACACUCGCGCCAAUCAACCCAAGAUCUUGGAACAUUUGGAACAAGAGAACAAGGAGCUGAAGGAUGAGAUUGCAUGGUUGACUUCCAUGAUGGAGGUUGUUCUUGCUCCGCAUAAUCAGUCUUCACCAACUCCCGCAACUCCUCCAUAGAGGAUUGUCGUUUCUUAGGUUUCUACCUCGACUAUUCCUGUUGAUGUUAGCCAAUCCGGGUUUUCUAUGCCUGCUGGAUUCCCAUAGGAAAUGCCGCCAACAUUUGUGCCUGAAGGGUUUAUGCCUACCUUUGUUUCUAUGCCAGAAUCUAGCCCGAUCAUGUCUAUGCCUCCUCUAGUUGUUCAUACUUUGCCUCGUGUUGAGGGCACCAUCAACCAUUCUGAGACAUCUGAGGGACCAGAUGUUUAUGAGAAGAUGGAUGAAAUAAAGGAUCGGUUCCUUGAGUUGCAAAAAGAGAUGAAAACAUUGAGAGGAAAGGACCUGUUUGGUAAGAGUGUUGCUGAACUCUACUUGGUACCAAAUGUGAAAAUCCUGAUGAAGUUCAAGGUCCAUGACUUUGAAAAGUAUAAGGGAAAUGCUUCUCUAUUUAGUCACCUUGUUAUGUACGCCAGGAAGAUGUCAACUCAAACUAAUAAUGAUUAGUUGUUGAUUCACUAAUUUCAAGACAGUUUAAUCGGUGCUACUCUGAGAUGGUAUAUGGAUCUAGACAGUGCAAGUGUUCAUACUUUCAACGAUUUGGGUAAAGCUUUUGCUAAGCAGUACAAGUAUAAUGUGGAUAUGGUGCCUGAUAGACACCAAAUAAGGUAUAUGUCUCAGAAGGAUAAGGAGACGUUUAAAGAGUAUGCUCAGAGGUGGAGGGAACUUGCUGCUCAGAUUAAUUCUCCAUUAGAAGAGAAAGAGAUGACGAAGAUUUUCCUUAAGACCUUGAGUUCAUUUUAUUACGAACGUAUGAUUGCCAGUGCCCCUAGUGACUUUACCGAAAUAGUAAACAUGGGGAUGAGGUUAGAAGAGGGAGUCCGUGAUGGACGUCUGUCUAAGAAAGAAGCGUUGUCCAAUAAGAAGUAUGGAAGUGGUUUCUCCAAAAGAAAAGAGGCGGAAACUAAUUCACUAUCUGUAGGGAGGCUGAGGAGGCCUCAUGUUAGAAGGAGUUCCCAACCACGUCAGCAUCAACAUCAAGUCUUUUCAGUGAUUCCCGUCUUUUCCAAUAGUUCCAUUAAUCAACUUGUUCCAAUUCAACAACAACAACAACGUCAACAACAACCGCAGCAAAGAACCACCACCACCACCAACAAUAAUCAACAAUAAAACUUUGAGAGGAAGAAGGUCUCUUUUGACCCUAUUCCUAUGUCAUACGCCGAAUUAUAUCCAUCCUUGGUUCUCAAGAACCUACUUCAACCCAGAAAUCCACCGCAAAAUCCCGAGCCACUUCCAUGGUGGUUCAAACCUGAACUCCGUAGUGCCUUUUACCAAGGAGCCCCUGGCCAUGACAUUGAUAACUGCUAUCCAUUGAAGUAUGAAGUACAAAAGCUUGUGAAGAGUGGGAUGGUGUCGUUUAAGGACCGUGCGCCUAAUGUGAAAGCCAAUCCUUUACCUGCUCAUGGUAAUGCUUCAGUCAACAUGGUUGAUGGUUGUCCUGGGGAGUUCAAUAUUUAAGACAUCCACUAUAUCAGAAGGUCCUUAGUGGCAAUGCAUAAGGAUAUUCGUAUGGUUAGUGAAUGUGAGCAUGACCAUGAUGGUUGUGCAAUCUGUAGUGUGAACCCUCGAGGAUGUGUUAUUGUCAAGAGGGAUAUUUAAAGGUUGGUGGAUGAAGGUCUUAUCCAAAGUUUUCAAUCCCGUCACUUGGGAAAUGAUGUUAAUGUGAUUGUUCCUAUGUUUAAGACCCCUGAGUGGGUAGUAAUCCAGUUCAAUAGUAGUAGCAGUAACAACGUUAAUAGAUCGGUAUCAUCGUUAGUAAUACGGUUAACAGGCCCCAUCCCGUAUGCAUCCGAUAAAGCUGUGCCUUAUCAGUAUAAUGCCACAAUGGUGGAGAAUGUCCAAGAGGUUCUGUUUCCCGUAGCAGAUUUUGUGGUGAAUAUAGCUGAUAUUGCAAAGGUGACCCGUAGUGGUCGUGUCUUCAGCCUGUAAGAAGGUGGAUGUGCCUGUGGUGAAUCCAGUUAGUGCUCCAGUUUGUCAGUCUGGUGAAUCCAUCAAGCUGAAGCCUAAUGAUAAUGAUGAAGUUUUGAGGUUGAUAAAAAGAAGUGAAUUCAAUGUGGUGGGGCAGCUUAUCUAAACCCCAUCAAAGAUUUCAGUGUUGUCUUUGUUCAUGAACUCCGAAGCACAUAGAGAAGUGUUGCAGAAAGUCUUAGAGCAAUCCUAUGUUGAGCAUGAUAUCACUGUGUGUAGCGGUAAAUUCAUGAUCAUCCAGCUAUGGAUAAGCUGGAGAUCAAUAAAACCAGAGUCGCCACCGCGCUUUUAUUAUUUUCAAGGGAAAAGGGAAAAAGUACGAACAAAACCCAAAAGUAAGAAGUUUUCAAAUCAAAACUAAUAAAAUGUCAGAGAUUACAGGUAAGGGGGUUGGUUACACAGAGGGAAGGUGUUAGAACCCAAAGUGUUCUAGGUACUCCAAGGGAGCCCUUUCUUGUGUGCGUAUGUAUUUUGUACAAAGUGAUGUUUACAAACAAAUAGAAUGGAGGGAUGAGAAAAGAAUUCAUUAAUUAUAUUUUUAUGUUUGAAAAGACCUUCGGACUUAUGCCUACAUACUGUAAGACCCUAAUUUUGACCCUAAGAUCCCUCAUGGCAUCAUAACAUUGCAUUUGCAUCAUAGCCUCAAGGAAAAUUUGCAUCUUGGUUCCCUUUGCCUUUGGGUGGGAUCUCUUGAGAUUUGGUUUGAGAUCACCAAGCAUGCUUGAAUUGUAUAUUAUUGCUUUUCUCAUUUUAUUUACUAACCAAAAGCACAAAAAUAUGUCACUAACAUCUUUUGUUUGUAGCUUGAGCAGUCAGUAUAUUAUUGCUUUUCUCAUUUUAUUUACUAACCAAAAGCACAAAAAUAUGUCACUAACAUCUUUUGUUUGUAGCUUGAGCAGUCACAAGGUCUAAAGCUUCUAGGAGAUCCUAUGUGCAUUGAUAUGGUUAAGAGAAGGUGAAAGCAAGCAUGGAAAUGGUUCCUAAAGCUAUCAUCCAUCAAAUAUGCCUCCCAAGUAUCUCAAUUUAUCAUUUUGAUCAAAGCAAACAAGGGGCUUGAGGCUUGUUUUCCAAGGGAACCCUACUUCAUCUGUUCAUCAACUAUGCCUUGCUCAUGAAGCAACCUCAGCCCAUGAUCAAAUUCAAUCAAGGGAAGUUCUUUAAUUCAUCAUUUCAUGCAUAUUUGAACUUAUUUGAGUGUCCUCAAUCAUCAACUCAUCAAGAUAUGAGUUUUGGACUUGAGAAGUUGAUCAGUCAAUUCAUCUAACCAUUUUGAAAUGCACUGAGACCUAACUUUUUAUGUGUUUGUCAAAUGGAGAUUACCCCAAGAGAAAAAAUGUUCUUAAGUAAUAUAUGAACAACUUUCAUGUUCAUCAAAAUUGAUUUGAAGCUUGGAAGGUCAUCAUCCAUUCCAAGACAUUAUAGGUCAUUUUGACUGAAACCCUAAUUUUAGGUCAACUUCCUAAGGACAUAACUCCUACAUUUUUCAUGAUUUUGAGGUGAGAUCUAAUGAAUUGGAGAGAGUAAGAUAUCUAAUUCAAAUGUUAUGUUUAGCAAAAUUGAAAAACCUCAAAAGAAAUACAUGUUAUAAUGCAAAACAUUAUAGGUCACUUUGGACCAAAUGCAUUGAAAUGUGAAAAAGUCCAACUUCAAGUGCCCAUAACUUCUUCAUCAAAAAUCCAAAUGAUGAAAAAUUUAAGUCCAAAUUGAUUGCCUUGAGACGAUCUACAACUUGCAUGUUGAAUAUUUUGUCAUUUGUAGUUUUCAUCAUUGAGACAGAAGGGCUUGAACAUUGGCCAAUUUUGAAAAUUUCACAUAUGCAUGUUUUGCACCCUACACUUCAAGUUCAAUUUUCAUUAAUUUCCAAGGCCCAAAUGGAGUUUUGAUCACAUUGGCCAAUUUUGAAAAUUUCACAUAUGCAUGUUUUGCACCCUACACUUCAAGUUCAAUUUUCAUUAAUUUCCAAGGCCCAAAUGGAGUUUUGAUCAACAUAACAUUUGUUCCUUAUGCAAUAAGAUUUCCAACCAUUACCCAUAAGGCUAUGUUUCAAUUUUGGAAGUAUCAUUUUCGAAGAGGGGAACUUUUAGUGCAUUUUUGGAAACUUGAUUCAAUUGCCAUGCAUGAUCCAAAUACAUAUCUUCUGCACGUCCAAAACAUAUUUGGUGAUGUUUAGCUUACCAUUCCAAUCAGAAUUGGGCCCUCCAUGCGCCUGUACUGGCCCAUGCAUGGAGGGCCUUUUCAUCCAUGCACACACUUUGCUCAUGCUUGCAGCUCCCUUCAUCUAUAAAUACAAGGCCUUGGCUUCAUAAUUGGACAACCUGAAGUCACCUGUUAUGCUGCACGAAUCCCUCCAUAGCCAUACUUAAAGGAACUUUCUCUUUUUCUUCAAAUUUUCAGAUCUAAAUUUCAGCUACACUGGUUGAUUUCUAGAUCUAUAGUUCCUAAACCUUGCUCAUCUUCAUCACUAGACUACACUGCAAGCAUUAGCAAAGGCGAAUUGUGCUCUCAAGAUCCACAUUUCAAAGGUGGAUAUCAGAACUUAUUUUCUCCGAAACUCUUUAUUCAUAGCUUAUUUCUUACAUUUGCUGGGUUGUGUGAAGUCCUCUCAAUAGAGGCAAUUGUUUUGUGCUUUGAAUUUUGCAAAUCCAUCAAGUUUCAGUUGAACACCAUAUUUUUCAACCUCUGAUUUCUCUCUCCAUGAAAGUCUAGAGUGAAAAUAGAUGGUACAGGGGUGAUGUACAUCACCCCAGCUUUACAUUGUUGUAUAGAUCGCCUCAUUUGGUGAAGGUUUAUUUUCUGCAACUCUCGUCGGAAUCUCUGGUCUCGCCGGAGAAGACGGUGGUGUACACCACCGUCCGUUUGCCAGUUUUGAUCCAGGUCGUUGAUGAUGAUUCCCAGAUUGAAUCAGGGCUCUUGGAUCUUAUGACUUUUUUUAAGUGUUUAUGUUGCUUAGUUGACUUAGGUCCAUGAUACGCGCGCAUGCCACAACCGUCUGAUCUGCCAGGUCAAUUAAUGAAUUGAAUCCAACGCGUGUGGUUUUUCCUAAUUUUCUAUUUCUGAUUUUAAUUUCCAUUUUAUUUCUCUUAUUCCAUUUCAUUUCAAAAAAUCAUAUCUCAUUCAUUAUUGAUCCAAAAAAUGUGAGACCAAUUGCAUUAUUUCUCUUUUAAUUUCUAGUUUCUAAAAAUGAUUUUUAAUAUUUUUUAUUUUAUCAUUUGAUAUUUUUCAUGAAUUUUCUCUUUUCUGGUUAUUUUUAAAUUUGAAGUUUGACCUUUCUUUAUUAUUUUAAUUCAAGUUUUAUUUAAAUAUUAAAAAAUGCCAAAAAUAUUUUAUUUGUUUCUUGACUUCUAAUUCUCAUUUUGCUUCUGUUUUCUAUUAUUUGACCUUGAUCUUCUCUAUCAUUGGUCAAUGUUUGUUGAUUAGUACAUACCAUUUCCAUCAAUGCACUUUAAUUCUUCAUUUUCUUCUUCUUCUUCUUCUUCUUUUUCUUUUUUGGAUCAAUGAGUUAAAGAUUGGUGGUUAGCAUUGAUUAGGGAGGUUUAAUCUUCCUUGAUUCAAAUCUAAUUCAUCUUUAUCAUGGAUCAAGUGAAUGGCUUUGCAUUAAGGAUAAAUUGCUUCCUAAAUCAUGCAAAGAACCUAAAUCAAUACAAGAUCAUUUCUCAUCUUCUUUUUGGCAUGGAAAGUUGUUGGAGUUUGAUUCACUAAUCAAGACCUCUAACUUGUGUUGUUGCCUACAUUAUUAUUGACCGGCCUCAGAUAGUUAUAGUUGUGACUUCUACAUAAGUCCAAUUACGAUUGCUUAACAUAGCGCUAAAUUUGCCUUAUGGCACACUAACUACUAACAUUAACCAUUAACCAUUAACAUUUAAUUCUUGCUCUUUACAUUUAUGAUAUUUAUUAUUCUUGUACAUAUUAUUCAUUUUCUUUUUCCUUUGCUCAUUUGAGCACAUGUUUAUGUUAAUGCAAUUUGCCUUUUGCUCACUUGAGCAUAUAAUUGUGUAUAUAUUAUUGUGCUUGUGUUUUGUUUAAUUGUUAUGGACCAAAUGCAAAGAAAUAGACAAAUGGACUUAGUUUCUAGGAUAUUCCCUAUGCAAAUUGGAGUAAAAGGAUCUUAAUAUUGAAGAUGGAUUGGAAGGACCAAACCUCUAAACUCACUCUUGUCCAUUCUUGAUUUGCUUCAUAAGACUCUUUGAUGUGUGUGUGCUUUUGUGCUAGGGGAUCCUAUGAGAUAUCAAAUUGAAGAAUCAUUGCCAUGUUCAUCCAAAUUGAAAGAUACAAGAGGCAUUGGGGAUCUUCUAAGAGCUUGUUUGAUUAUGUUGAUUGCUUGAGCUUACUAUUAUUUUGCUUGCAUAUUCCAAAGGAUGGGAGCUACUUGGAUCAUCAAUAUGAUCACAAGAGAGGAACUCCAUUUGUGGUCUUAUUUCUUAUCCCUUAUCUCUUAUAUGACUAGGACUUUAGCCAUUCUUUUCCCUUCCUCCACUCUAACCCAAGCUAAAACUUUUGUGCAAACAUUUAACACCUCUUUCUACACAUUAGAAACCUAAGCCUUAUGCUUUUCAUUUUCAAACUUCCUUUUAAUAACACUUAUUUUGAAUUGAAUCUUUAAGUCAACUUUGACCAUAUUUUGUAAAUACUUUUCAUUGGUAAAUAUAACCCAUUCAAAUACUUUUGUGGUUUCAAUGGCCAUUUCUAAUCAAAAUUUUUUCAUAACCUUUAGCUAUUAGGUUUGAGUUAUCCUUGAGGUUGAUGUAAUACUCACCUAUAUCCUUAGUGAUGGACAAUGAGUCUUCCAUGCUUAUUAUAGGGUUAACCCCUCACUAGCAUGUUAAAGCUAUCCUCACAUGGUGGAUUUGUGGUUUAGGUUGAGUUUUCUCCCUUGGAUAACAAAAGACCUUAAGGCUUUUGGACCAAUCAAUUCACCAACUCAUUUUUAAUAUUUUUACCCCGAACUACGAGGUUUUGAUCCUAAUCUUUUUUAAGAUGGUACGUAGGCAAUGGGUUUAUCCAUCCAAACACAAAAGGUAAAUAACUUGUAUAUUCUCUUCUCAUCUCUUCAAUCGUGUUUGCACAAACAAAUUUUCACAAAAUACCAACCUUACAACAAGUAUGAAAAUAGCUCCCUAGGAGUACCUAGGAUGUUUUGGGUGCUUAAAACCUUCCCAUUGCAUAACCAACCCCCUUACCCCGAUCUCUGACAUUUUUACUAGUUUUUGAUUCGAUAAAACUUUUAGGUUUUUGUUCAUAACCAUUCCUUUGGAUAAAUAGAAGUGCGGUGGCGACUCGACUUGUAUGGUUUACCUUGGAUUUAGUCAAUAUCUCUAAUGGUAACGAAUACCCUGCUACAGAAAAGUGGCGACUCUGCUGGGGACAUUUGCCUAGUGGGUUUUUCCUACUGUAAUACCCCAAAAUUUACCCUUCAUUUUUUCUGGAAGCAUGGGAUUAUGUUUUACAUUUCAUUAGCAUCAUACUAGGUCAUACUCAUUGCAUACUGCAUUAGUGACAUGGAAAUCAGGUUUUGAUUGAUCAUUCCUUGACAGAAGGAGCCCACAUAAAUCAAGAUUUAGAAUUGGACUUCAUUCUCUAAGAAUACAAGUCUCAAAGGUCUCGGGGGGCUCUAGGUGUCUUAUUAUGGUCCUUAGCUCAUCAGUGAAAGAUUCAGAGCUAUCAGAGUGUUCAUCUAGAUUUAAUCAAGAAAUUAGGGUUUAAGGCUACCUGCAACAGGCAAUGUUUGGUUGGAAGUAGAGGAGCUCAUCCAUGUCAUGAUUGGAGAGGCAUCUUGGCCUAGGAAGACUCACAAUUAUCUCAGAAAGAUCCAUUGGCAAGCAGUGCAACAGUCCCUAAUCAUUUUGCCCCAAAUUAGGGUUUGGUAUAAAUCAGCUUAUUUCUGAUUCUUUGGGUGAAACUAUUUUCCCAUGGCCCCAUAUGUCCACAUGGGUCUACAUACAAAAAAUCAGCUCUUUAUUUGAGUCAGAAGUGCUUCAAUUGAUCAAUGGAAUCGGGAAUCAGAUAGUUUGGGAAAAGUCAACUGUGGGCCAAGAAAGUCAACUCUUGACAUUUGGAGAGUGGAAUCUCAAAUCCAUGCCUAGGGGAUCCAUCAUGUGAAAUUGUCAGUUGGAUCUUGGAUUCAUCAUUUAAUCAGGAAUUGGAAAAGUUACUUAAUUUGGAAAUGGUUGACUUUCCAUUUAGGGCAAGUUUUCAUGAUUGUUGCACUCACUUUAAGCCCAUUUUCCAUCAAAAUAAAAGCUCCAUUUGAAAUUUUCUCCAACAUGAAAAUUGUUCAUCUUGUUCCAAGCUUUCUAGAUAUAUAAAGUUUUCUCCAUUUGGAUCAAAGUUGAAAAACUUAUGCUUGGUCAAAGUGACACAUUUAUUUAGGAUCUUCAAAGUUUGUCAAGACUUCUUGGCCAGUUUUCUUGCACUUCAAGGCACCAAUUGAAAAUGUUUUCUUCACAAUAAUUAUACCUUUCCAUGUCCUCUUUCACCUCCUUUUGGAAUCAUCUCAUUUGGAUCCAUGGUUUGAGAGAUGGAUUCAUCUAAAGUUGGCAUCAUGACUUGAAUUUCUAGGCAGCAUGUUAGGCCAAACUGGCCCAACCAUUUUGGCAUGGUGAGACCUGAACUUGAGGCCCAUUUUUCACCUUCUUCCAUUCAUCAUUUAGGCAGCAUGUUAGGCCAAACUGGCCCAACCAUUUUGGCAUGGUGAGACCUGAACUUGAGGCCCAUUUUUCACCUUCUUCCAUUCAUCAUUUCCACUUGUGCUCAACAUGAAAGAUGCUAUACUCCAUGGUCUUGCUACUGUUUGCAUCAAAGAUACAUGGCCACAAAGUCACCAUCUUGUGUAAGAGCCCAUUAAGAAUAUAUGACCCAUCAUAUGUAAGAACAAAAACCCUAAAUCUGAAGGUCAUAGUGAAUUUUAGAGCUAAGCAAGGAGGGAGUUCAUUCAAGUCAGAUUUCAUUUCUUUUCCAUUUCUCAAAGUUGAAGUUUCAAAGCACCAUUCUUCUUCCAUUUUCUCCACAACCAAGAGGCAGUGGACCUAGCUUCCACUAGGUAAUCAUCUUACUCCUUCUUCCAUGGCCAUGUAUAGCUUAUUAUGCUCAUCAUUAUGCUUGCUUCAUGCCAUUACCAUGCUCAUCAUCAUGCUGGUUUCCAUGUUAAUAUUAUGCUAUGCUCAUUUCUGAAGCCCUCAACAUGAGACAAUGUUCAUGUUGUGGAUUUGUUUUGUUUAUUUCUGCUCACACUCGUGGCCAUGUUGUCCUCUUGUUGUCAAUAUUUCUCCAUGAUUAAGCCAUCAUUUAACCUAAAACAAGUCACCAUGUUAAUCCUUGCAUUUCAUACUUGAUGUCUGGUUUUUAUUUCGUGUCUUUUGGUGCACUAUGGCAUGCGCAUUCUUGAGUGGAAGUUUGGAAAAACUCACUUCAUUUUCGCGAUUUCUGCAUGAUUAUGGCAUUAGGGUUUGGUUUGAGGAAGGAGAUGAUUACGUGUCAUCUUAGGAACCGUUAGAUCCAAGGCAUGUGUUUUAAUCCUGGCCAUUUAUUUGUUUUUGUCCUCUAGUGACUUAAGUACCCGUGACCAAUUGAUACAAGGUUACUUGAUUUAAUUUAUUAAAAUGUUAUUUGUUGUCACGCUGGUUUAAUAAUUGUUUGGACUGGGCCUGCGCUUUCCCGCUCUCCACACCCCCAAGUUCCAGGGCCCAUCAACACUAAUACUUUCUCUUUUCAUUUUCUUUUUUUAAUUUCCAUUUAUUUGCUGUUUUGAUUUUAAUUAUUUUAGAAUAUUUUCUUUAUUCAUAAAAAUCCCCAAAAAUAUUGUCCACAUUUCUUAAUGCCUUAUUUAAUUUUAUUUAAUUUUUAUUUUCGUAUUUAUUUAAUGUUAAUAUUUUAUUUCAAUUAUUAAUUCUAAAUGGUUCUUUUAAGCAUACCUUNUUUAUUUAAUUUUUAUUUUCGUAUUUAUUUAAUGUUAAUAUUUUAUUUCAAUUAUUAAUUCUAAAUGGUUCUUUUAAGCAUACCUUUAAUUCUUGAUUUUAUUUUCAUGGCUUAAAAUUAUUUUUAGCCUUUGAUUUUUGGGAUGAAGGUUGACCACUGUCCCAUGGUCAACCUGACAUUUUCUUGAUUUUUUAUUUCACAAUUUUCUAUUUAUUUGAUAACUAUUUUGGUUGGUUGACUUUUAGUUUGACCUUUAUUUUAUUUCAAUUAAUUCAUGAACCAAUUUUCAUUAUUUUUGAAAUCUUUUUGGGGGAUGAUGAUGUCCUGACCCCACCUCAUUUAGUUUAAUUUUUCAUAAUUUUCUUGAUUAAUUUGCUAUUUAUUUGACAUUUUUUAAGUUGACUUGAGCUUUCAGUUGCCUUCUUUAUGAUCGAUGUUUGAGUUAGGGAUUGCUUAUGGCAAUUGAAGAGACCUUUUGAUCCUCCCUUGUUCAUCUCAUAUGCCAUGUAUUAGAGGCCUUUUAUCUUGAUUUUAUUUGGUCCUUACCUCAUUUCCGGAUUAAAUUUUUCAGUGGACCCCUUUUGUGCAUCUUUUCAUCUGUCUGAUUCAUCUGAUAUUUGUUAUACUUGUUUCUUUCAUCCAUGCCUUCUUUUGCUUGAUUGUUUAACAUGUUCAUACUUCCUAUGCAUUGUUUAAUGCUCCAUCAUAUCAUUCUUUGAUUAUUUGACUUGAUUAUAUACCUGUCAUAUACUCUUAUUGUUUGAUAACUGUUGCCUACUUGUAUGAUGAUUGAGGCAUAUAUUCUUAUUGUUUGGUCGCCGUGAACCAUCCCCAUUUGUAACAAAUGUACCCCUCUCCCAAGAAGUGUAUAAUAUUUAUUCUCUCAUUCUUUAUUCAUCUGUUAAUACAAGAAUUAAAACGAACAUCCGAUAAUCAUUUCAAAACAAGAUCAAAAGCUCGACCCAACGUCGAGUAAUCAUUUUCAAAACUUAACAGAACCAGCAUGUAUUCAUUCAUCCUCUUGUAAGUCGAUCUCCUCAGGCAUCGCCAUUUCUCUUGUAAGUCGAUUGCUUCAGGAAACACCAUCUACCUCUUGUAAGUCGAUUGCUUCAUACAUCGCCAUCUACCCUUAUCCGUGGCUCCUCUCCUCGCUCCAUCCGUCAACUCUUGUUCUGUUUAGGUAACACCCAUUAGGUAGAACCUUUUGUAUUAUAACAUAGGUAGAAUUCCCUUAUUCUUUGCAUGCUAACAUUAGGUAGAUGUUUCCCUUCUGUAAAUCCUAAUACAUAGGUCCACAUUGCAUGACAACUCUAGGGCAGAGCUUCCCCACUUUUAGACCUUCCGUGCGUCUCCGAUCUUGUGGCAUGUCAAUCCGUUCUAUUGCAAAGAGGUAACUGCCUAAGACUCGAUUAGAGCUUCCCCACUUUUAGACCUUCCGUGCGUCUCCGAUCUUGUGGCAUGUCAAUCCGUUCUAUUGCAAAGAGGUAACUGCCUAAGACUCGAUUCAGCGAGCUGCGACACCUACUGCUAGGAUGUUGACCACAUUGCCCACUUUCCUUUGACACAGCUGGUGUCCUCUUUUGUAAGUCCAUGUUCAGAUGGAAAUCCAUAACCCCUAGUUAGGCGAACUACGACAACUCUGAUUCUCAUGUUCAGAUGAGAUACGUAGGCACGAGAUGUGAUGUCUUGCCGAGUUUGACUAACGACUAACAACUAAUCCUUGUUUACUUUCCCCCUUGCUGCGAUUCUUUUCUCUCGCCCUCGUUGCGAUCGAGACCUUCCCUUUCUCUUGCCCUAGUUGCAAUCGAGACCCUUGUUCCCGUAGUUAGCUGAACUACGUUUUUCUCUGAUUCUCAUGUUCAGAUGAGAUACGUAGGCAUAAGACACGAUGUCUUAGAGAGCACACUUCUCUUUCGCCCAUAGGUAGCUGAGCUACGAAGACUCUGAUUCUCAUAUUCAGAUGAGAUACGUAGGCAGUGGAUGCGACAUCCUUGCGAGUCAUUUUAUUUUAACCCUUCUUUUAGUAAAUAGUACCUUAGAUAUACCUACACCCUUUAGACUAGAACAACAAGAGUGGAUCCCGUAGAGUACUACAGAUGCGUAGGGGUGCUAAUACCUUCCCUUCGCAUAAUCGACUCCCGAACCCAAGAUUUGGUUGUGAGACCUUGUCUUUUCCUUCUCUUCAGGUUUUCUUCAAUCGUUUCCUUUCCCUUCUUUGGGAUAAAUAACGAACGGUGGCGACUCUUCUAUUUCUUUUUCUUCGCCGGUUGUUUUUUUUCGCACCAGUUGCGACAGCUGGAGACUCUGUUGGGGACCCGGUUUCCCUAUGCGAAUCCCUCCUAGCUUUUGUGAGUUUCUUGUUUGUUGGGUGUUUAUUCUUUUAUACAAUUAUUUACUUUCAGCAUUUAUCUGCUUUAUCUUAUUGCAUUAUGUACAUAUGAUUGUUGUAUCUGUUGGAUCUGUGGGGUUGGUUGUUUGUUGGGAUGGGUUGUUCUAUGAGAGAUAAGCCCACUACCCAGGCUUGAGCGUACACACAGGUUUUAGAGUGGAUAGUCAUGAGGCUUGCAUAGUAUGUUGCUACGUUAAGUCGUUCACGAAGACCCACACCAUGAUGAGGUUUCUUUUGGAUAUAUUCUGUCCUAUGAGUGUUCCAUAACGACAGACGUUCCUUUAGAAAUCGUCGACUCUGGUGACCAUUUCCCGAGGACUCAGUCGAGGGCUCUCCUCCGAGACGCGGUUAUGUUAGCUCUGGUGGGCACAUUCUCGCUGCUCAAUCCGAGGACCCCGAGGCUGGGAAUUGCUUUUAGGAUGUCCUGUUGAGGGGAGUCAGUGGAGGUCUUUUGUCUCGUAAUAAUGCUAAACCUUCAGUAGUAAACGUAUUAUUCUCGACUGAAGGACUAGAAGCUAAUGAACUUCUGUUCUUGGAACCUACCAGUGAGGGGCGGGCUAAAUUCAGGAAACCUUAACCUUCAACCAACCCAGUUUUCUGGUAUUCUUGUUGGAACAGAGCUUUGAUCUCUUAUAUGUUCCUCAGUGGUUUUCUCUUCAGACAGUGCGACCUGACAGUUGUUCAAGCAGAUACAGCAAUCAUGAUUCCCAUGUCACUGCAUUGCAUCACAUCAUUUUGCAUUCAUAUCAUUUAACACAUGUUUAUCCAUUACUAGGGGUUUAUAUCUUCUUCUUGAUUCUAGUCGGGGUUUUCUGGUUCUCCUAAGAUGGAUAUUGGCAGAAAAAGACAUGUCGCCUACAGAUUUCUUGUGGUUUGUUUGGAUCCCAUUCAACAGCUGAUGAAGUUAACGAAUCAUGAUUCUCUAGAAGGAUUCCGGAAGGAUUAUGGUUUGAUUCUAAGCUUCGUUACGGCUCUCUCCAAAGAUCAACACGAUGCUCUCUUUACACUGCUGCAGUUCUAUGACCCUACAUUGAGGUGUUUUACAUUCCCAGAUUAUAUCUUAGUCCCUACUUUGGAGGAGGUUGCCAGUUUUCUCAGAGUUCCUAUCAAGCCGCAGUUGCUAUUCUACAAUUCCAAGUUUCUGCCCGAUUUCAGCAUGGUUGCUUCAGCCACAUAUUUGGGGAAAUCAGUCUUGGAGUUUAAUAUGAGUCAGAAAGGAGGAGUUAAUGGUUUUCAUCUGAGUUUCCUAGUAGGAGAAGCCAAGAAGAAGCUUGAAGAUGGUGAUUGGAGGUGUUUCAAUGCUGUGUUGGCUCUUUGUGUAUACGGGAUUGUCUUGUUCCCUAAUGUUCCAAAAUUUGUGGACGUAGACGCAAUACACCUCUUCGUGUUGGGAAAUCCGGUGGCGACCUUGCUAGGAGAUUUCUUUCAUUCAGUGCAUCACAGGAAUGAGAAUAGAAAAGGAGGAUUGGUGAAUUGUUGUGCACCCUUGUUUCAUAAGUGGUUCAGUUCUCACCUACCCAAAUCAGGAGCGUUCAUUGACUUCAAGGACUCGUUGAGUUGGUCGAAGAGAUUGAUGGGGAUAAGAGCUAAAGACAUUUCUUGGUGGUCUGACCAGAACUUGCUUCGGGCGGAUAUCAUUCACAGUUGCGGGAACUUCCCGAAUGUGCCAUUGGUAGGAAGAAAAGGAGGGAUCAACUAUAAUCCUUCUCUAGCAGUCAGACAAUUUGGGUAUGCUUUGAAAACUCCGCCUUUGGAAAAAGAUGUGGAAGAAUCUCUGUUUUUCCAUUCCUCAUCUGAUUUGACUGUAUCCCAUAAGGCAGUUGAGGCUUGGCUCAAAGUGAUCAAGAGAGGAAGGACUGUGCUUGGAAAGGGAGAUUGCAGGACUUAUCAUCAAUAUGAAGAUUGGCUUCGGGGAAGAGUCGAAGAGUUUGGUCUGCCUUUUCCUAUUAAAGAACCUUUGUAUCCACCUACUCCUGAGCAGUCAACGAUGGUGAGUCGAGAGGAGUAUGACAAAUUGAAGAAUGCCAUUGAGGAACUUCAAACUAAAAACUCAGAGUUGCGUGUGAAAUUGCAAGAAUGUAUGCAUCUAUACCAUGAGGCAGAAUAUCAGAAGGGGGAAACUGUCAGAUUGCAAGAGGAAGCAGAGAAGAAACUGGUUGUGGAGGUUAACUUCUUCAGGAAAACUGACAAAGCCUUGGGGUCAUCCAGUUCUGAGUUGAGGCAAGUCAAGCAGUAGUUAACAGAUGCCUGUGGUAUGUUAGCUGGGUGGCAAGAGCAGUGGGAUGCAUUUUCAGCUUCUCGGAAGGCAAAAGAGAAGGAGAUGAUGGCCCAAUUGACCGGUCAGAUGGAGAAGUUGAAGACUCUGCUGAAGGAGAAGAACAAUGAGCUCUUGUGUGCCCGUACAACCAAUGGUUACAUCACAGAUCAACUCGACAAUGCUCAAGUACAUAUUGAAGAACUCAAGGUGCUGGCGGGUUUGAAGAAAUCUAGACUUGAAGAGGUGUUCGUGGAGGACGAUGGGAAUUACUACAUAGAGCACAUCAACGAGCUGGAUGGGAUUAUUCACAAGAGGAAUUUUCUUAUUCGGUGUUUAACAGAAUCUCUAGAUCAUCCUGACACGGUGGCACUACUGGCUGAAGUUAGGAGCAGUCCUUAUGGGUUGUAUACAGAAGGCUGAUUCCUGAUUUUUGUUCCUCUCUUUACUUGUUAUGUUUCUUUGUGGUUUUGUAGUGAUGAUCCACAGGCUUGUUGUGGAGAUCCUCUUUUGAUGUACUGUUGGCUAAGGCCAUUCUCUUUGAACUCGUUUGUAUGACGAUUUCUCUUUAUUGCAUCUUGGUCUCAAAAGUUUAUCCACGGCUCGAUCUUCUUGUACUGUUCAUCUGAUGUGAGACUGGAAUUAAGGGGUAGAGUACCCUUUGGAAUUGAUAAACAUGUCAUUGCAUUUGCACAUUCAUUAGCAUGUCUUGCAUAACAGGUACCGCCGCAAUGUUCUCAUUUUGUUUGAUAUUCCACUAGUAGGAUAGCUGACUCAGGCAUUCACCGGUACGGUACCCGCAGGAAUCAACAAAGAGCAAUGGAAGGCCUACAAGAAGAGCUUGUUGAGAUGAGGAUUUGCAUGAAUCAGUUCAUGGACGUGGUCCAAGGAGUGGCUCAGGGACAGCAGAAGCUCAGACAGAUGAUACAGAGGAAUCCCCCUACUACUCAACCAGAGAUGGUGAUUGAUCCUCCAGCUGGAGAGACCAAUGGACCCAAUAGACCGGGGCCUAUCCCUAUCCCACGUGUCAACCCUGAUCAACAACCCAUUCAUGAUGAUCAAGAGGAUCAGUUCACUCUGCUUCAAGAGGACUUUGGCAUGGGCCAUGGCAUGGACCUUAUGUUUAGGAGGUUGGAGGAGAGGUUGAAGGUUGUGGAAGGGCAGAAUGCUCUUGGUGUGGACGUUGCUGACUUGGGGCUGGUCCCAGGCGUGAGAGUUCCACCAAAGUUCAGAGUCCCAGUCUUUGACAAAUAUAAUGGCAACUCUUGCCCGAAGAGUCACGUGCAAGCUUACUUCCGCAAGAUGGUUGUGUAUUCUGAUGAUGAGAAGCUGCUCAUGUACUUCUUCCAGGACAGUCUAGCUAGGGCAUCCUUGGAAUGGUAUAUGAGGCUGGAUAGAGCCCAUAUUUGCUGCUGGAGAGAUUUGGCUGAGGCUUUUGUGAAGCAGUAUCAGUACAAUGUUGAUAUGGCACCUCACAAGACUCAACUCCAGAAUCUGUCUCUCAAGAGCAAUGAGUGCUUCAGAGAAUAUGCUCAACGCUGGAGAGAGACAACUUCCUGUGUUCAACCUCCGAUGAUGGAGAAGGAGAUGGCCAACAUGUUCAUGAACACACUUCCCGGGUCUUACUUGGAGCGUCUGGUGGGUUGCAACGCCUCCAAUUUCGCUGAUGUGGUCUCUACCGGUGAGAGGGUGGAGAACUACUUGAAGACGUGCAAGAUCCAAAGUGGGGUUGGAUCAUCAUUAGGGGCGAAGAAGCCGUUCAUACAGGGAUAAAAGAGGAGAGAAGGGGAUUGAAAUUCAAUAUCUUCUUAUCAGAACAGGGGUAACCGGAGGAACAGUUUUCAGAACUACCAUCAACAACCUUAUGUUGCAGUUGUGACCAUUUUGGCUGCAGCACCAGUGCAACAACAAUAACCUCAGCGUCAACAAACUCAAUACCAACAACCACAGGGUAACAGAGCUGCCUACCAACAGGGACAGAGGAUGUUGGACAGGCGUUUCGACACUCUUCGGAUGUUGCAUGCCCAGUUGUUUCCCAGCCUUCAACAGCUACAACUUGUGCAGAUACACACUUUGACUCCUCCUAUUGGCAGGCUUCCAGUGGGUUAUGACGCCAAUGCUAGGUGUAAUUUCCACUCUGGGGCACCUGGCUACUUUAUUGAGAACUGCAAAGCUUUUAAGCACACAGUUCAGGACCUUAUUGAUUCGAAGACCAUCAACUUUGUGCCAGCUCCUAAUGUUGUCAACAAUCCCUUGCCGCAACAUGGUGGUGCAAACGUUAACAUGGUGGAAGGAGAAUUCAAAGUCGUCAAGGAUGUGUUGAAGCUGAAGACACCGCUGUUGGAAAUCAAAGAAUACUUGUUGAAGGCAGAUGUUUUCCCCGGUUGUGGGAGCGGCUAUUUGGGUUGUACUGUACAGAGUGGGGGUUGUGUGAGGCUGGAGCAGGGUAUUCAGGCCUUGCUCGACGAUGGUAUCCACCAAGCUGAAGACCUAUCUGCCCAAAGGUCUAUUGAAGGGGUUGUUGUAGGGGAUGUUGAAGAGAAUGCUGAUGUUGAUCCUCUCUUUCCUGAAGAUGCCGUGGAUGCUAAAGAAUUUACAAAUGUUGUUCCUGCUGAUUUUGUAAUCCCUAGUGAUGUAAUUAAUUCUUCAGAUGUUGUUGUUGAUAUUCCAAACAAUGUAUUUAAUUAUGAUGUAUUUGUUGAGCCUGAUUCCGAUGUUUCGGAUGCUUGCAUUUCAAUGAAUAAGAUUUCUAAGUAUGACUGUGAUGUUGCCACUAUCACAAUUUUCUACCCAACUGCUUAGAUCAGUGUGCCAGUAGCGCAACCGGUGCCACCAGUGCGACCAUCCACUAUGACCAUCACGACCCCUGGUCCUUUACCUUUCACCAGCGAAAGGGCCAUUCCUUGGCAUUAUGGGGGGAGUGUGUACACGCAUGAUCAUGGAGUGGAGCAGCCACUGAAAAUAGAAGAGGUGCAGGAUCAGAGGUCUGAACCUGGAGUUGAGGUAAAAGAUCCCGCAGUGGACAAUAUUGGUGGAAUCGGGCGAUUCACCAGAAGUGGUAGACUAUUCUCACCACCGGUUACCCAACUUGAUAGUGCUGAUGCCGCGGCGAAGGCCAAAGGCAAGCAAGUUGUGAAUGAGGGUACCUCUGCACCACAGGCUGGCUCUGACCCUACUUUUGCGAAGGAUGUGGACGAGCUCUUGAGAAUCAUAGAGAAAAGUGACUACAAGGUAGUCGAUCAGUUGAUUCAGACGUCGUCCAAGAUAUCUAUUCUAUCACUCCUGCUGUGUUUGGAGGCACACAGGGAGGCAUUGUUGAAGGUCCUUAAUGCUGCAUAUGUGCCUCAGGAGAUCUCAGUGAACCAACUGGAAGGGAUCAUUGCAAAUGUUCAUGCGAGCAACAGGUUGGGUUUUACUGAUUCUGACUUGACACCAGCUGGACGCAAUCAUAACAAGGCUUUGCACAUCUCGAUGGAAUGCAAAGACACCGUGUUAUCCCAUGUUCUGGUGGAUACAGGUUCCUCUCUCAAUGUGUUACCCAAGAGAGCCCUGUCAAGGUUAGAUGUAGAAGGUUUGAUCUUGAAGCCUUCCGAUCUUGUUGCGAGAGCCUUCGGUGGUUCUAAGAGGUCGGUGUUCAGAGAGGUAGAAUUGCCAAUUUAGAUUGGAUCACAAACCUUCAACACUGUCUUCUAUGUGAUGGAUAUCAGUCCUUCGUAUAGCUGCUUGUUGGGUCGUCCUUGGAUCCACAAUGUUGGGGCAGUCUCCUCGACCUUGCAUCAGAAGAUCAAGUUCCCGGUCAACAAACGAAUUAACACUGUCUGUGGUGAGGAGGAUAUUCUAGUCAGUCACUUGUCUACAUUCAAGUAUGUAGAGGUAGAAGGUGAGAUUCAUGAGACCCUGUGUCAGGCCUUUGAGGCAGUUCAAGUCAAGGAUGCAGCUCCGGUGGAAGAGGUUAAAGUAGGUGCCUCUAUUUCGUCCUUUAAGCAGGCGCAGGCCUUGGUAAAUUCAGGUGUUGCUCCCGGUUGGGGACGUCUGUUGGAUUUACAUGUAAAGGAAGACAAGUUCGGGAUUGGGUAUCAGCCAACAUUGACUUCUACAACUUCAACGUCUUAGACUCGUCAGGGGCCGAUUACUUUCUCCAGUGCUGGCAUCAUUCAGUAUGGCCAGGUCUCUGCAAUCAACAAAGAAGAUGAAGAUAGUGAUUGCGACAUAGACAACUGGGUGCAUCCAAGGGUCCCGGGUGAAGUUCUCCGCAAUUGGUCUUCUGAAGAGAUUAUCCAAGUCACUCUUCUUGAAGAGUAAUUUUCUUUGUUUGUUUGUGCAUAUCCAAGUCUUACAUUCCGCCCAGGGCGUAAUGACUCAUUGUAGGGCUCAUCUAUGUGAAUACCUGCAUUUUUUAUCAUAAAUAAAGGACGUCUUUUUGCAUUCAAAUAUUUUGUUCACUGUAUCAUUGUAGGGCUCAUCUAUGUGAAUACCUGCAUUUUUUAUCAUAAAUAAAGGACGUCUUUUUGCAUUCAAAUAUUUUGUUCACUGUCUUUCUAUUUUUGCAGUUUUCAAAAAUCAAAAAAUAUUUGGCAAUGUUUUGUUUAGUUUUCACUCAUUAUUCACACUCAUAAGCACAUACCAUCACUCAUGCAGCUGCACGUCACCGGAUCCUAUUGAUAACAGUUCUACUAUGGCUCGCUUCGACUUUGAAAAUCCAAUCUUUCAAGCUGAAGAAGAGGGUGGUGAAGACUGUGAACUCCCUGAAGAACUUGCCAGGUUGUUAAAACAGGAGGAAAGGGUCAUUCAACCGUAUCAAGAGUCAAUUGAAGUGAUUAAUCUUGGCACCGAGGAUGUCAAGAGAGAAAUCAAGAUAGGGGUUGCUUUGGAAGAUAAUGUGAAGAAGGGGCUAAUUGAACUGCUGCAAGAGUAUGUUGACAUUUUCGCUUGGUCUUAUCAGGAUAUUCCAGGGCUUGACACAGAUAUUGUGGUACACCGUUUGCCUCUCAAAGAGGAUUGUCCUCCGGUCAAGCAGAAGCUCAGAAGAACAAGACUAGAGAUGACUGUCAAGAUAAAGGAAGAAGUGCAAAAAUAGUUGGAUGCAGGGUUUCUAGCGGUUACAAAUUAUCCGCCAUGGGUUGCAAAUAUCGUUCCAGUACCUAAGAAGGAUGGAAAGGUACGGAUGUGUGUUGACUACCGGGAUCUGAACAGAGCUAGUCCAAUUAUCCGCCAUGGGUUGCAAAUAUCGUUCCAGUACCUAAGAAGGAUGGAAAGGUACGGAUGUGUGUUGACUACCGGGAUCUGAACAGAGCUAGUCCUAAAGAUGAUUUCCAAUUACCUCACAUCGACGUUUUGGUGGAUAACACGGCUCAGUUCUCGGUUUUCUCCUUCAUGGAUGGCUUUUCUGGCUACAAUCAAAUUAAGAUGGCAUCAGAAGACAUGGAGAAGACAACUUUCAUAACCCCAUGGGGCACCUUCUGCUACAAGGUGAUGUCGUUUGGUCUGAAAAACGUUGGGGCAACAUAUCAACGAGCUAUGGUAACUCUUUUCCAUGAUAUGAUUCAUCAUGAAAUCGAGGUUUAUGUUGAUGAUAUAAUUGCCAAAUCUCAAAUGGAAGAAGAACAUUUAGUGAAUUUGCAGAAACUGUUUGAGCGUUUGAGGAAAUUCAAACUGAGGCUUAAUCCAAACAAGUGUACUUUCAGGGUGAGGUCUGGAAAACCGUUGGGUUUUAUUGUCAGCGAAAAAGGAAUUAAGGUGGAUCCUGCCAAAGUAAAAGCGAUAAAGGUUCAUCUCUCACCUAACAGCCACGUGUGAGCCAAUAUUCAAGCUGUUAAGAAAAGAUCAGGCUAUCAAGUGGAAUGAUGAUUUCCAAAGGGCUUUCGAGAAGAUAAAAGAGUAUUUGAAGAAUCCUCCUAUCCUUAUGCCUCCAGUCCCAAGGAGACCGCUGAUUAUGUAUUUGACAGUACUUGACAAUUCCAUGGGUUGUGUUCUCGGUCAACACGACGAGACAGGUAGGAAAGAGCAUGCCAUCUACUACCUGAGUAAAAAAUUCACAGAUUGCUGAGUCGAUGAACCUCAAUGCAUGGAAAAGACAUGUUUGUGCACUUGCAUGGGCCUGACUAAGCGAUUGAGACGAAUAACAUUGCUGACUCCACACAACCUGUACUGAUCUCCAAGAUGGAUCCAUUCAGAGUAUAUAUUAUAAGCCAGCUCUCACCUGAAGGAUUGCUCAGGUAUGGCAGAUGGGACUGACAGAGUACGAAUCCAGUAUACACCCAGCAAAGCCAAAUCAAAGGGAGUAUUCUGUCAAACUAUCUUGCUCAGCAGCCGAUUGAUGGACUAUAAGCCGAUGAAGUUUGAUUUUCCGGAUGAGACAUCAUGUUCCUCAAGGAGAAAGAUUGUGAAGAGCCAAGUUGUUGGAGGCGACCUGAUCCAGAUGAAAAGUGGACUUUAAUGUUUGAUGGGGCCGUCAAUGCCAAAGGAAGUGGAAUUGGUGUUGUCAUUACCACUCCGAAAGGUGCCCACAUGCCUUUCACCGCUCGUUUGACUUUCGAGUGCACCAAUAAUGAAGUUGAGUAUGAGGCCUGUAUUUUGGGUAUUGAGCAAGCCAUUGAUUUGAGAAUCAAGACUCUGGACAUCUUCGGAGAUUCAGCUCUAGUGAUCAAUCAAGUGAAUGGUGAUUGGAAUACUCUCCAGCCUAAUCUGGCCCCCUAUAGAGAUUACACGAGAAGACUGUUGACUUUCUUCACAACAGUAAAGUUGUAUCAUAUACCUCGUGAUGAGAACCAGAUGGUGUUGGUGUAAUCCCUAGAGGCCAAUACUUUUGGUACUUGUAUCGAAUUAUUUAUUAAUAAUAAAAGGCUUUUUCUUUAUUAUAUUUGUUUAAUAAAGUCCCUAGAAUAGCUAGUCCGUUUAAUGUAUCAAGUAUUACUUAAUCAUGAGAUCACAUUAAACAUAAGGACAUUAUUCUUAAAGUAUUCGUAGUCAAGCUUUAUUGUGAAGUGGGAUAACAUUAAAGCAUGAAGACUAUUAUGUUUAUAGACUGAUGAUCACAUCUCAUGGAUCAUGGAUAAAGAGUUAUCAAGUCUUAAACAUAGGUAUGAAUAUUAAGAGUAAUAUUUAUACUGGAUUGACCCGCUAUGAGAAUACUAUAUAGAAUGUUAUGCAAAGUGUCAUAAGUUAUUCUCAUGGUGAUAAUGGUGUAUACCACCCUUCGACCUGAAACCACUAUGGACCCUAGAUGUAGAGUCGAGUGCUUUAUUGCUGAUCAAACGUUGUCCGUAACUGGAUAACCAUAAAGACAGUUGAUGGGUACUCCACGAAGCAUGCUGAGGGACAUGAGUGACCUAGAUGGAAUUUGCCCAUCCUGCGUAACAGGAUAAAUGUCUAUGGGCCCAAUAUUGAACUGGACAAGGAUGACACGGUCUAUGCCUUGUGUUCAAUAUAGACAUAAGGGCAAAAGGGUAAUUAUACACAUAAGUAUUAUCACAGAAGGAUUUGUCAGAUCACAUGACAUUUUCGUGUCUUGGGUAGCAGUGAUGUGUUGCUAGAUACCGCUCACUGUUUAUUAUGUUAAAUACGUGAUUUAAUAUAAUUGCCAAUGCCGCGAAAACCUACAGGGUCACACACAAAGGACGGAUUGAUGAGAGAUAGAGUAACUAAGGAACACCGUAAGGUACGGUGCACUUAAGUGAAUUGUAGAACAUCGUAAGGUACGGUGUACUUAAGUAGAAUACGAAAUAUGGUAAGGUACCACGCGCUUAAGUGAUUUUGGCAUAUUAUAAGAUAUGGGCCACAUACACUUGAGUGGGCUUUUUAGCUUGCAGCCCACACAAGUGGUUCUAUAAAUAGAACCCUUGUGUAGAAGCAUUUGUGCAGUUGCAAUUUUGUUUUCUCUCUCUCUCACUCAAAGCCUUCAUUCGUAGCAGCUAGCACUGAGAUUGAAGGAAUCCGUUCGUGUGGACUGAGUAGAGGCGUUGUCAUCGUUCAACGUUUGUGAUCGCCACAAGAGGUAACGAUUCUAUCACUGAUCAUGCCCAUUCGUAAGGAUCAUUAAAGGAGAAAUUUUAAAUUCUGCUGUGUUUUGGAUCGCCAUUCAACUUCAGAUGGCAGAUGCUCUUGCUACUUUAUCCUCCAUGAUCAAGGUGAUUAGGUGGAACUAUGCUCCCAGGAUCGAUGUUAUGCGCCUUGAUAGGGCCGCGUAUGUGUUUGCUGGUGAACGGGUGGUUGAUGACAAGCCCUGAUAUCACGACAUCAAAUGCUUUCUGAAGAAUCAAGAGUACCCUGCAGGGGCAUCCAACAAUGAUAGAAAGACUUUGAGAAGAUUGGCAGACAAUUUCUUCUUGAACAAAGACGAUGUGCUGUAUAAAGGAACAUCGAUAUGGUUUUGCUCAGAUGCGUGGAUAGACACGAAGCGGACAUGUUAAUGCAGGAAGUUCAUGAAGGCUCCUUCGGUACCCAUGUCGACGGAUAUGCAAUGGCUAAGAAGUUGUUGAGAGCGGGUUAUUACUGGAUGACCAUGGAAUCUGAUUGUUUCAAGUAUGCUCGGAAGUGUCAUAAAUGCCAGAUUUAUGCUGAUAAGGUGCAUGUGCCGCCAAAUCCUCUGAAUGUGAUGUCUUCGCCGUGGCCGUUUGCUAUGUGGGGCAUUGAUAUGAAUGAUAAGGUGCAUGUGCCGCCAAAUCCUCUGAAUGUGAUGUCUUCGCCGUGGCCGUUUGCUAUGUGGGGCAUUGAUAUGAUUGGAAAGAUUGAGCCGACUCCUUCCAAUGGGCAUCGCUUCAUCCUUGUUUCCAUCGACUAUUUCACCAAGUGGGUCGAAGCAGCGUCAUUUGCGAAGGUCACCAGACAUGUGGUUGCCCGAUUCAUUAAGAAAUAAAUCAUUUGUCGUUAUGGGAUUCCCGAAAGAAUCAUUACUGAUAAUGGUUCUAAUCUCAAUACCAAAAUGUUAAAGGAGUUGUGCAAGAACUUCAACAUUUAACAUCACAAUUCUUCCCCUUAUCGUCCUAAGAUGAACGGUGUUGUUGAGGCAGCAAAUAAGAAUAUAAAGAAGAUUGUGCAGAAGAUGGUCGUUACGUACAGAGAUUGGCAUGAAAUGCUACCCUUCACCUUGCAUGGGUACCGUACUUCAGUACGUACGUCGACCGGGGAAACCCCUUACUCCCUUGUGUAUGGUAUGGAAGCAGUCCUACCUGUUGAAGUGGAGAUUCCUUCUCUAAGAGUCCUGCUGGAUGUCAAGUUAGAUGAAGUUGAAUGGAUUCAGACAAGGUUCAAUGAGCUGAGUCUUAUCGAAGAGAAGCGAAUGGCAGCCAUCUGUCAUGGGAAGUUAUAUCAGAGUCAGAUGAAGAGAGCCUUUGAUCAGAAAGUGCGUCCUCGAUGCUUCCAAGUCGGAGAUUUAGUGUUGAAAAGGAUCCUUCCUCCUCAGACAGAUCACAUGGGCAAGUGGACUCCUAACUAUGAUGGACCAUAUAUUGUCACCAAGAUUUUUGAUGGUGGAGCCUUAAUGCUUGCAACUAUGGAUGGUGAAGACUUCACUUCCCCUGUGAACUCAGACACAGUUAAAAAAUACUUCGCAUAAAAUAGACCCGCUGGACAAUAAAAAGAAUAGUCCAGGCAAAAAAUGGGCAUCCCGGCGAACCAAGAAAAUGAAAAAGGUUCGGGCAAAAGUUAGGGGUUAAAAAUGAAAAGAUUGUACACCCGGUAAGUUGAAAAACUGAAAAGGCAACUUAGGCAAAAAUGGGUAUCCCGGUGGAUUGAAAACCCGAAAGGGCGAUCCAGGCAAAAGUUAGGGAUUAAGCGAAUGACUGUGUUCUGAGUAGUUCUGAAUCUCAUUUCGUGUCGAUAACUGGAAACUUUCGAAGGAUAGGAAACAGUCCAAUCACCUCUUUCAGAAAGCUGAUCAUGUGGAGGAUCUUGAAGACGAGCGAGUCAUAGCAGAAUUGGAACCCGAUAGAAAUCCCUUUCACAUUGCUAUUAGACUAAUUUCUGUUUUUAUCUUUUAUGCAAUUACCUCUUUCCAGGGAUUGCUUCCUGAUGUAAAUUCCUAUUCAAAGGCCAUUCAAUCAAUAAAAUCAUGUUAUUCAGUAUAUCUCUGUUUUCAUUUUCAUUUUACUGUUUUGUUUGCAAAAAUGACGUCCGAAUUUUUGAUAAACAUUGCAUCAUGAAACAUAAGUAUAUCUCUGUUUUCAUUUUCAUUUUACUGUUUUGUUUGCAAAAAUGACGUCCGAAUUUUUGAUAAACAUUGCAUCAUGAAACAUAAGAGCUUUACAGGUACAUGCUUAAUAAACAUUUAAAAUUUAUGUAAAUUUUAAGUGCUUUGGAUCGUCUAUUCAGAACAGGAACACUCGGGGCAUUUCCUUAAGGUUCCCAACAGAUGAUCGCGGAUGUUCUGCUUCAACAGUUGGUACUUGGUAUCUUAUCCCUGCAAAGUUGGUCAAAGCAUUGGAUUUUUCAAUCCCCAGCAGGUUCUCACUACUGUACUCUCCCCAUGCAUUUGUUUCAGAUUAUACAUUCAACAGUAGAGUCGACAGUGUCAGACUGUAUAUCCCUAGUAGAGUCGACAGUGUCAGACUGUAUAUCCCCAGCGGAGUUGACAGGGUUAGACUGUAUAUCCCCAGCGGAGUUGACAGUGCUAGACUGUAUCUUCCCAGCAGAAGCAGCUACUCCUCAGAGUUCGAUGCUAGAUCGAUGAUCUCGACGCUAGAUCCAUGAUCUCUUUCCUUGAAGCAGAAUCUCGGUACCAUAUCGGUGUUUGCUUCCCCUGCUGAGUCGUCUCUCUCGCAGAUAUUAGUUGCCAGAACCACUGUCGCUUUCCUCUGCAGCAAGCUUUCAGUGCCAUUCUCUCCCCAGUCAGAUUCUCGGUAUUUUGUUAUUGCUAGAACACCGCAUGGCCGGUCAUUUCCCCACAGAGUUCAUCGUGCUGUGUGUCUCCAACAGCAUCGCCAGGGUCCAGAAGAUUGCGAUCAUUUCCCCAGUAGAAUUCUUUGCCUCGGCUUGGUGUUCUCUUUAACCUAGCAUUUCGCAUCCCUACAUGUAGAAUCAUAUCGUAUUGCAUCCUCCCAAAUCGCGUAGCAUUUCCAUUUUCAUGGAGCAUUACGCCAUUGAAAAAUUCAAACAUACGCAUGUAAAGCAUAAGACAUUCUCGGUAUCCCAAGUGAUAAGCCAGAAAUUUGUUUCCAGUACUCAGGCUGAAGUUUGUUCAUGACUUAUCCUUUAUUAUUCCCAGUAGGGGUUGUUGGCCCACACGCCGCCUCAAUUAUUAUUUUCCCUAUUUCUGCCGAUGCUGACAGGCAUGAAAGUUUUCCGGUAUCCAGACCGAAGUGGCAUUCAGGCCAGUUUUCUGAUGUUCAGAUCAAAGAAGUUUCCGACGUUCAGGUCGAUGCAACUUGUGGCAUUCAGGCCAGUUUUCUGGUAUCCAGACUGAAGUGGCAUUCAGGCCAGUUUUCCGAUGUUCAGAUCGAAGAAGUUUUCGAUGUUCAGGUCGACGCAACUUGUGGCAUUUAGGCUAGUUUUCCGGUAUCCAGACCGAAGUGGCAUUCAGGCCAAUUUCCGGUAUUCCGACCGAAGUGGCAUUCAGGCCAGUUUUCCGGUAUCCAGAACGAAGUGGCAUUCAGGCCAGUUUUCCGGUAUCUAGACCGAAGUGGCAUUCAUGCCAAUUUUCCGAUGUUCAGAUCGAAGAAGUUUCCGACGUUCAGGUCGAUGCAACUUGUGGCAUUCAGGCCAGUUUGCCGGUAUUCAGACCGAAGUGGCGCUCAGGCCAAUUUCCCAGUGUUCAGACCAAUGUUUGAUAAUCUAGUAUCUUUCGAUGCUCAGAUCAGAGUCGUUUCCAGUAUUCAGAUUGAUGAGUGGCAUUCAGGCUAUGGUUAUUUCUGUGUUACCAUUUAUUUUGGUAUUCAGGCUAACAUUCCUUCUUUCGGUGUUCAGACCGAUUAUCACCGUAUUAGACGGAUUCUUUUUUCAAGACCAUUUCUUUGUCGAUCCUGACAAGCAUUAUUACUUCUUUUUUUCACUUCAGUGUAAAUUUUCGGGCUUUUAUUGUAUUCAAUCCCUUGAUACCUCGAAAGUGAGAAAGUCGUUGCUAUCUUCUUUUCGGGUCUCUAGUUGAUUGAAUAGGGGCAACUGUAAUACCCCAAAAUUUACCCUUCAUUUUUUCUGGAAGCAUGGGAUUAUGUUUUACAUUUCAUUAGCAUCAUACUAGGUCAUACUCAUUGCAUACUGCAUUAGUGACAUGGAAAUCAGGUUUUGAUUGAUCACUCCUUGACAGAAGGAGCCCACGCAAAGCAAGAUUGAGAAUUGGGCUUCAUUCUCUAAGCAUACAAGUCUCAAAGGUCUCAGGGGGAUCUAGGUGUCUUAUUAUGGUCCUUAGCUCAUCAGUGAAAGAUUCAGAGCUAUCAGAGUGUUCAUCAGGAUUUAAUCAAGAAAUUAGGGUUUCAUGGCUACCUGCAACAGGAAAUGUUUGGUUGGAAGUAGAGGAGCUCAUCCAUGUCAUGAUUGGAGAGGCAUCUUGGCCUAGGAAGACUCACAAUUAUCUCAGAAAGAUCCAUUAUACCUGCAACAGGAAAUGUUUGGUUGGAAGUAGAGGAGCUCAUCCAUGUCAUGAUUGGAGAGGCAUCUUGGCCUAGGAAGACUCACAAUUAUCUCAGAAAGAUCCAUUGGCAAGCAGUGCAAUCAGUCCCUGAUCAUUUUUUCCCUAAAAUUAGGGUUUGGUAAAAAAUCAGUUUAUUUCUUAUUCUUUGUGUGAAACUCUUUUCCAUGGCCCUCCGUAUGUCCACAAGGGUCUACAUACAAAAAAUCAGCUCUUUAUUUGAGUCAGAAGUACUUCAAUUGAUAAAUGGAAUCGGGAAUCAGACAGUUUGGGAAAAGUCAACUGUGGGGCCAGAAAAGUCAACUCUUGACAUUUUGAGAGUGGAAUCUCAAAAUCCAUGCCUAGGGGAUCCUACAUGUGAAAAUUUGAUCAAGGUUGGAUCUUGGAUUCAUCAUUUAAUCAGGAAUUGGAAAAGUUACGUAAUUUGGAAAUGGUUGACUUUCCAUUUAGGGCAAGUUUUCAUGAUUGUUGCACUCACUUUAAGCCCAUUUUCCAUCAAGAUAAAAGCUCCAUUUGAAAAUUUCUCCAACAUGAAAGUUGUUCCUCUUUGCUUCCAGCUCGUCUAUGAUAUAAAGUUUGCUCCAGUUUGGAUCAAAUUGAGAUAGUUAUGCUUGGUCAAAGUGAGACAUUUUUUAGGACACAUUAGAAAAUUUCUAAGUCCAAAGUCUUCAAAGUUUGUCAAGACUUCUUGGCCAGUUUUCUUGCACUUCAAGGCACAAUGAAAAUGUUUUCUUCACAACAAUUAUACCUUGCAUGUCCUCUUUCAACCUCCUUUUGGAAUCAUCUCAUUUGGAUCCAUGGUUUGAGAGAUGCAUUCAUCUAAAGUUGGCAUCAUGACUUGAAUUUCUAGGCAGCAUGUUAGGCCAAACUGGCCCAACCAUUUUGGCAUGGUGAGACCUGAUCUUGAGGCCCAUUUUUCACCUUCUUCCAUUCAUCAUUUCCACUUGUGCUCAACAUGAAAGAUGCUAUACUCCAUGAGGUCUUGCUAUUGUUUGCAUUAUUUCAUCAUUUGGUGGCUUGCUCAUCAAGAUACAUGGCCACAAAGUCACCAUCUUGGACUUAUUUCCUUGCCUGCCAAACCAGAUCAAUAAUGCUGCACAAACCAAGCCAGUUUUCUGUUUUCCUCAUUUGGCCAUGCACUUUUUUUUCCACCCACUUAAACUUUGCCAAAAUAAGCAACUUUCUAACACCACCUCACUUUACAUCUUUUGCUCAUAAACUAAAACAGAUUGUGUAAGAGCCCAUUAACAAUAUAUGACCCAUCAUAUUUAAGCACAAAAACCCUAAAUCUGAAGGCCAUAAUGAAUUUUCGAACUAAGCAAGGAGGGAGUUCAUUCAAGUCAGAUUUCAUUCCUUUUCCUUUUCUCAAAGUUGAAGUUUCAAAGCACCAUUCUUCUUCCAUUUUCUCCACAACCAAGAGGCAGUGGACUUGGCUUCCACGAGGUAAUCAUCUUACUCCUUCUUCCAUGGCCAUGUAUAGCUUGUUAUGCUCAUCAUUAUGCUUGCUUCAUGCCAUUACCAUGCUCAUCAUCAUGCUGGUUUCCAUGUUAAUAUUAUGUUAUGCUCAUUUCUGAAGCCCUCAACAUGAGGCAAUGUUCAUGUUGUGGAUUUGUUUUGUUUAUUUCUGCUCACACUCGUGGCAUGUUGUCCUCUUGUUGUCAAUAUUUCUCCAUGAUUAAGCCAUCAUUUAACCAAAAACAAGUCAUCACGUUAAUCCUUGCAUUUCAUACUUGAUGUCUGGUUUUUAUUUCAUGUCUUUUGGUGCACUAUGGCAUGCGCAUUCUUGAGUGGAAGUUUGGAAAAACUCACUUCAUUUUCGCGAUUUCUGCAUGAUUAUGGCAUUAGGGUUUGGUUUGAGGAAGGAGAUUAUUACGUGUCAUCUUAGGAACCGUUAGAUCUAAGGCAUGUGUUUUAAUCCUGGCCAUUUAUUUGUUUUUGUCCUCUAGUGACUUAAGUACCCGUGACCAAUUGAUACAAGGUUACAUGAUUUAAUUUAUUAAAAUGUUAUUUGUUGUCACGCUCGUUUAACAACUGUUUGGACUGGGCCUGCGCUUUCCUGCUUUCCACACCCCCACGUUCCAGGGCCCAUCAGCACUAAUACUUUCUCUUUUCAUUUUCUUUUUUUAAUUUCCAUUUAUUUGCUGUUUUGUUUUAAUUAUUUUAAAAUAUUUUCAUUAUUCAUAAAAAUCCCCAAAAAUAUUGUCCACAUUUCUUAAUGCCUUAUUUAAUUUUAUUUAAUUUUUAUUUUCGUAUUUAUUUAAUGUUAAUAUUUUAUUUCAAUUAUUAAUUCUAAAUGGUUCUAUUUAUUUAAUUUUUAUUUUCGUAUUUAUUUAAUGUUAAUAUUUUAUUUCAAUUAUUAAUUCUAAAUGGUUCUUUUAAGCAUACCUUUAAUUCUUGAUUUUAUUUUCAUGGCUUAAAAUUAUUUUUAGGCUUUGAUUUUUGGGAUGAAGGUUGACCAGUGUCCCAUGGUCAACCUGACCUUUUGUUGAAUUUUUAUUUCACAAUUUUCUAUUUAUUUGAUAAUUAUUUUGGUUGGUUGACUUUUAGUUUGACCUCUAUUUUAUUUCAAUUGAUUUAUACACCAAUUUUCAUUAUUUUUAAAAUCUUUUUGGGGGAUGAUGAUGUCCUGACCCCACCUUAUUUAGUUUAUUUUUUCAGAAUUUUCUUGAUUAAUUUUCUAUUUAUUUGACAUUUUUUAAGUUGACUUGAAUUUUCAGUUGACUUCUUUACGAUCGAUGUUUGACUUAGGGAUUGCUUAUGGCAAUUGAAGAGACCUUUUGAUCCUCCCUUGUUCAUCUCAUAUGCCAUGUAUUAGAGGCCUUUCAUCUUGAUUUUAUUUGGUCCUUACCUCAUUUCCUGAUUAAAUUAUUCAGUGAACCCUUUUUAUGCAUCUUUUCAUCUGUCUAAUUCAUCUAUCAUCUUUUAUACUUGUUUCUUUCAUCCAUGUUCACUAUUGUUUGAUUGUUUAACAUGUUCAUACUUCCCAUGCAUUGUUUAAAUGCUCCUUUAUUUCAUUCUUUGAUUCUUUGACUUGAUUAUACACUUGUUUACUUAUCUGAUUUGAUUGAUAAUUGUUGCCUACUUGUAUGAUGAUUGAGGCAUAUAUUCUUAUUGUUUGAUUGCCAUGAACCAUCCCCAUUCAUAACAAAUGUACCCCUCUCCCAUAAAAUGUUUACUUAUCUGAUUUGAUUGAUAAUUGUUGCCUACUUGUAUGAUGAUUGAGGCAUAUAUUCUUAUUGUUUGAUUGCCAUGAACCAUCCCCAUUCAUAACAAAUGUACCCCUCUCCCAUAAAGUGUAUAAUAUUUAUUCUUUAAUUCUUUAUUCAUCUGUUAAUACAAGAAUUAAAACAAACAUCCGAUAAUCAUUUCAAAACAAGAUCAAAAGCUCGAUCCAACGUCGAGUAAUCAUUUUCAAAACUUAACAAAACCAGCACGUUUUCAUUCAUCCUCUUGUAAGUCGAUCGCCUCAGGCAUCACCAUUUCUCUUGUAAGUCGAUUGCUUCAGGCAUCGCCAUCUACCUCUUGUAAGUCGAUUGCUUCAUGCAUCGCCAUCUACCCUUAUCCGUGGCUCCUCUCCUUGCUCCAUCCGUCGACUCUUGUUCCGUUUAGGUAGCACCCAUUAGGUAGAACCAUUUGUAUGAUAACAUAGGUAGAAUUCCCUUAUUCUUUGCAUGCUAACAUUAGGUAGAUGUUCCCCGUUUUACAUCCUAACACAUAGGUCCAUAUUGCAUGACAACUCUAGGGCAGAGCCUCCCCACUUUUAGACCUUCCGUGCGUCUCCGAUCUUGUGGCAUGUCAAUCCGUUCUAUUGCAAAAGAGGUAACUGCCUAAGACUCAAUUCAGCGAGCUGCGACACCUACUGCUAGGACGUUGAACACAUUGCCCACUUUCCUUUGACACAGCUGGUGUCCUCUUUUGUAAGUCCAUGUUCAGAUGGCAAAUGCCUAAGACUCAAUUCAGCGAGCUGCGACACCUACUGCUAGGACGUUGAACACAUUGCCCACUUUCCUUUGACACAGCUGGUGUCCUCUUUUGUAAGUCCAUGUUCAGAUGGCAAUCCUUAACCCCCUAGUUAGGCGAACUACGAUAACUCUGAUUCUCAUGUUCAUAUGAGAUACGUAGGCACGAGAUACGAUGUCUUGUCGAGUUUUUUGACUGACGACUAACAACUAAUCUUUGCUUGCUUUCGCCCUUGUUGCGAUUCUUUUCUCUCGCCCUCAUUGCGAUUGAGACCUUCCCUUUCUCUUGCCCUAGUUGCAAUCGAGACCUUUGUUCCCGUAGUUAGCUGAACUACGUUUUGCUCUGAUUCUCAUCCCAGAUAAGAUACGUAGGCAUAAGACGCGAUGUCUUACCGAGCACACUUCUUCUUAACCCAUAGGUAGCCGAGCUACGAAGACUCUGAUUCUCAUACUCAGAUGAGAUACGUAGGCAGUGGAUGCGACAUCCUUGCAAGUCAUUUUCUUUUGACCUUCUUUUAGUAAGUAGUACUUUAGAUAUACCAACACCCUUUUGACGAGAACAACAAGAGUGGAUCCCGUAGAGUACUACGGAUGCGUAGGGGUGCUAAUACCUUCCCUUCGCAUAAUCGACUCCCGAACCAAAGAUUUGGUUGCGAGACCUUGUCUUUUCCUUCUCUUCAGGUUUUCUUUGAUCGUUUCCUUUCCCUUCUUUGGGAUAAAUAACGAACGGUGGUGACUCUUUUGUUUCUUUUUCUUCGCUAGUUGUAUUUUUUUGCACCAGUUGCGACACCUACUUUUCACAUUUUGUUGUAUUGUAUUGUAUAUUGUUUUGUGACAUAUUUUUGUGCAAUUUGGGAUUACUGUAUUGUAUGUAAUGAUUGAAUUGCUUGAAUAUUAAUUCCUUGUAUGCUUGGUGGUCUUUGAGAGAUGAGUUCUAUACCCGAACUAGAGUGCACUUAGGAUAGGAGAAUGGCAUAGUCUUGUUGACUUAUGGGGAGUUAUUCCUUAGCAAGUUGGCUUGCAAGCCCAUUCACUUGGUGGAGGUCAUGUUGAGAUCAAUAAUGUCACACAAGUAGUUGUGGUUAGACAUUACUCUUUCCAAUAUAGGCCUUAGAAGCCAAGGACCUUAGUUUACCAAGCCCAUCUUGGCCUAUUCUUAGGAUGUAGUACGAAAGACGGUCAAGUGUAAGAUUUGAUACGAUUGUUACGCGAUACUACACUCAUAAGAGUCUCUCUUGAGAAUAUUUUUGGAAUACGAGUAGUUGUUUAUCCGAUAAUAUCCGAAAGAUGGGAUGAUGACUAUGGGAGCGAUACUACACUCAUAAGAGUCUCUCUUGAGAAUAUUUUUGGAAUACGAGUAGUUGUUUAUCCGAUAAUAUCCGAAAGAUGGGAUGAUGACUAUGGGAACCUCUUGUAGAACAUGUUUGGCAGGUUCAAACCCUAGUACACUCCCUUUGGGUGGUUCUUAACCGAGACUCCAUGCUCGUGACUUGCAACAAACCCUUGAUUCGUGGUUGAUCCGUUCUUGUAUCCUUAAUAUCAAUGGAACUUGGGUGUUGAUAAGAUGUAAACCAUAAUCCACCAAAAUGGAUGAUUGAUAUUAAGGAUAACAUGAUCUAUCCCAUGACCUUUGUUUGGUGUGCUUUGCUUGAUCCUUGAGUGUGAUUGUUGCAUUCAUGCAUUAGUGCACCCAUUUGCAUCCAUAGCAUCAAUAAUGAGAAAAUUUUCAAGGAACAUAAGAGGUCUAUUUGCAAAUUUUCAGACAUGGAAAGACAAAGAAGGAAUACAAAGUAGUACAGUUUCAGACAACCUGACUUGAAAGUGCUAAGGAAUUUGACAUCCUAUGUAUUAGAUCCCUUGGGUUUCAAGGCUCGUUUUGGGAAGCUUUUAUCCGUUCUGACUACUCAGGUGGACGAAGAAUUGAUGAGUGUAUUGGUGCAGUUUUAUGAUCCCUUGUACCGUUGCUUCACAUUUCCGGAUUUCCAGCUUUUGCCCACGCUUGAGGAGUAUGCCUACCUUGUGGGUAUACCCAUUCUAGACCAGUUUCCGUUUAGUGGCUUAGAGAGUGUUCCUACUUCUCAAGAGAUAGCUGCUAUGUUGCAUAUAGAUGAAUCUAUGGUUGUUGCUCAUAUGACUACCAAAGGCGGAAUUCAAGGUCUCCCUUUUGAGUUCCUCAUUGCUCAAGCUACUAUGUAUGGGAAGGCCAUGAUUGAGGACGCCUUUGAGGCCAUAUUUUUACUUCUCAUCUAUGGGCUAGUGUUAUUCCCCAACAUCGAUAAGUUUGUGGAUGUGAACGUUAUUAGGAUUUUCUCUACUCUUAAUCCCGUUCCAACUCUGUUGGGUGACACUUACUUUUCUUUGCAUAUGAGGAAUGCAAAGGGUGGUGGUACCAUUGUAUGUUGUUUGUGUAACACCCUUCUAAAAUACCCCAAAAUAUUUAAUUAAAAUAGCAAUAUGUCAAUCAGAGUAAUUAUGCAACUAAGGGUGUCACACAAUCAUUUCACACCAUUUUCCAAAAUAUCCUGUCAUGCUCAUUUAUUUAAUCAAAAUAAAACAUUCGCAUAAUACGCAGCGGAUACAAACUAACAAUAUUCAAACCAUGUAAUACAUUACAUGUAAAGUUGUUCAACAAUCAAAUGAAAACAUAAUAAAACAUCCCGUCCCGAUGUUACAUCUACCAGAGCAUGACCCACUAAGGAACUACACUAGACUCCAAGGACUAGCUUCUACUCAAUCACUGCUCGUUACCUGAAAAAUAGUUGUAAGGGUGAGUUCCUCAAUCGAUAUAAUAAGCAUUAUAAAUUAACAUGUAAUGCCAAGUAAUUUCACACAUUCAUCACCCUAAUCAGAUCAUACAUUCAGCAACGGCAACAUCAACUAAAAUCAUACUCAACUCAACCACAAAACACACGUAUAAUAUUGGAAUACAUCCAUUCAUAUUAUACGCCAUACAAUACAAAUGCAAUGAGACUCCAUGCAUGCGGUACCGACUAUUUGUGAACAUAUAGUUCACCUCACCGUCCAAAUCCAGGCACGGCUACCAAGCCCACCUAGUCCCACUCAUUUGAGACCUAGUGACUCACUCACUAAUUCCUCACCANNNNNNNNNNNNNNNNNNNNNNNNNNNNNNNNNNNNNNNNNNNNNNNNNNNNNNNNNNNNNNNNNNNNNNNNNNNNNNNNNNNNNNNNNNNNNNNNNNNNNNNNNNNNNNNNNNNNNNNNNNNNNNNNNNNNNNNNNNNNNNNNNNNNNNNNNNNNNNNNNNNNNNNNNNNNNNNNNNNNNNNNNNNNNNNNNNNNNNNNNNNNNNNNNNNNNNNNNNNNNNNNNNNNNNNNNNNNNNNNNNNNNNNNNNNNNNNNNNNNNNNNNNNNNNNNNNNNNNNNNNNNNNNNNNNNNNNNNNNNNNNNNNNNNNNNNNNNNNNNNNNNNNNNNNNNNNNNNNNNNNNNNNNNNNNNGUAUCAGUUAUGUGUGCAUUUGUGAAUAGACUGUUUUAUGGCUUAGAGUGUGAGCAUAUGUCUAUUCGUGAAUUGUGGUUGAUGAUUUAGCAUUGCUAGGUGAUUAGCAUGCAUAUUGUGGCCUUAUGGUGGUAGCUAAUUCCCAUGGUGAGGAAUUAGUGAGUUAGUCAUUUUGGACUGUUGUUGAUGUUUGCAUGCUAGGUGAAUUAGCGUGCAUAGCAUGGCCCUUGGGGUGGUAGCUAAUUCCCAUGGUGAGGAAUUAGUGAGUGAGUCACUAAGUCUCAAAUGAAGUGGACUAGUGGCUGGGCUGGUCAGCUCGAGGCCUUAUGGGGCUAGUGGGAACUGGUGCCGUGCCUGUAAUUGAUUGAGACGGGUCGAGGUGACCUAUAUGUUACAAAUAGUCGAAGAAUAGACAUAUGCUCACACUCUAAGCCAUAAAACAGUCUAUUCACAAAUGCACACAUAACUGAUACAUUCACAGGAUCAUGCAUACCAUCACACAUCAUCAGUAUUUUAUCACAUAAGCAUAUCAUAUCAUGCCAAAUAACAACCACAGUAUUAGCACACUCUACUAAUACCUAUACUACUCAAAACGACGGGGAAUGAGCCCUAAUAUAUCAUACAUCAGCUAAAUUACAUUACUCAGCUGAACAGCUAAAAACUGCACAACAACAGCUCAGGAAAAUCACAAGUCUGCUCAUACGCGUAUUACCUAGUCCCAUACGCGUAUGGCCCAUUUCUCAGCCAAAACCCAUACGCGUAACACCAUCCCAUACGCGUAUGCUACGCGUACCACAACCCCAUACGCGUACCAACAGAGACCAAAACACGUUCAAAACAUCAUCUUCCUCAUCCAUACGCGUAUUGCCUAGUGCCAUACGCGUACCAGACCAUCUCAUACGCGUAUUGCCUAGUGCCAUACGCGUAUGACCAGAAACCAGAUUUCCAGAUCUGCUAUGGUCUUCUCUGCUACGAGAUCUACCAAUUUCCAACCUCCUACAAUCCAAUUUUUCACAUUAUUCGUUCAUAUCCUCUAACACAAUUCAUACCCUAUUCGAUUUCACAAAAUCUAACAUUAUUACAUUAAUUCCUACGAAUUUCCUUCAUUUAUAAUCCAAAUUUCGUUCAUCCAAUACUUCACAAUUUCAUCAUACGUCAUUCCAAUCAGAGGUAAAUCAAUGGUUUAUCACUACCCAGUACAUAUUAUCCCAUAAUACCCAUUAAACGAUGAUAAACCCCCCUUACCUGAGUUAAUCCGGCGAAUCUUUAAGCUCCAAGCUCUUCCUCUCUUCAACCCUUGUUUUCUGGCUCUCUUUGCCCCUUUUCCACUUUUCUGUCCCUUUUCCCUUUUCACGUGAAAAAAAUAAACCUUUUACCAAAAUGGGACCUUUUCUAAAUUCCAACUUUUAUUCCAAUAAUUAUUAUUCCAAUAAAAUACUAACCCAAUAAUAAUAAUUCCAAUAAUAACAUUCCAAUUAUUUAAUUAAAUUAAUAAAUAUAUUAUUAACUUAAAUUAAAUAAUUAUCUUAUUUUAUCGGGGUGUUACAGUUUGCCUCUGUUGUACAAGUGGUUUAUUUUGCACUUGCCAUAGACGGUCGCCUUCAAGGAGAACAAAGGAUGUCUACGGUGGUCCCCGAGACUGAUGUCUCUCACUAAUGAUGAUAUCUUUUCGUACAACCGUGUAUAUGAUGGUAUGCAGAUUAUUGACUCUUGUGGUGAAUUCUCCAAUGUGUCUCUUCUUGGUACAUGUGGUGGGAUUAACUACAACCCCGUUUUGGCACGUCGUCAUCUUGGGUUCCCCCUAAAGGAUAAACCCAAUAACAUUCUGUUAGAGGGUGUGUUCUUUCAGGAAAGUAAAGAUCCCUAAUGCUUGAAGGGCAGGAUUGUCCGCGCUUGGCGCAAGAGCCAUAGGAAAGGAAGGAAGGAGCUAGGUCCAAAGAACUGUAUCGCUUUGGAGCCUUAUACUUCUUGGGUUAGGGGGAGAGCUUCCGAGUAUCUCAUGCCUUACGAGUAUCCAAGACCUACACCCUUGGUUAUGGCUGGGCCUUCAACCCUCCCUGACCAAGGAGUAGAGGAGUUGAGAGACGAGGAUCGUUCGCGUGCUUGGAUCCAUGAACGAGAGGAGUUGCUUCAGCAGAUCAAGGAAAAGGAUGUUUUGAUAGAGUUCCUCGAGCACCAGGUUAUAGAUGAUCCUGAUGAUGCAUGGACUUCUCUACUUCCUCAAUCUUCCAAAUUUUGGAAGAGGAAGUAUUAUCGACUUGCUAAAGAGAAGGCAGACAUGGAGGCAACCUAUGAGAGGGAGGUGAAGAGGCUUCGUGCGUCCUAUCUUCCAGUCUCCAGAGCUUUAGAUGAUUGCUUCUAGAGUUCCAUAGAAUGAUCAUUUUCCUUCUCUCUUGUAUUAUAUUUGGUUACCAAGACUGUACUUCUUUGGUGUAAAAAUAUUUUCCAGAUAUUAUUUGAUGUAAUAUUUCCAUGUGUGAUAAAUGUUUAAUAUUCCCAAAUAUUUGCAAAUAGGACUCUAAAGUUCCUCUGAUAUAAAAAAUUAAAUCAUAUGCAUUGCAUGCAUCAUGUGCAUAAGCAGGUUUUGCUCCAGGCUAACUUUGUGUUCUUCAUUUAUUUGAAGACAAGCUGACUCACCGGUACUACACCCGAGCCAACGCAUCAAGACUAAUGGAUCAUUUGGAACCACAUAACCGUGAGCUUAAGGAGGAAGUAGCCAGAUUGACUGCCCUGAUGGAGUCAUUCAUGGCUGCCCAGAGCCAGUCAUCUCCGACACCUUCAACUCCUCCGCAGAGGAUAGUCAUCUCCGAGAUUGUCUCUUUAACU